GAACUGAAACACAAACUAAAAGGGGCAUAUAUUUUACCCAUUAUUUAGUACUCGUUUAGCCUGAUAUUGGCUGUCUAGAGCACAAGCACUAAUCAUGGAAUUAAUAUUUAGCCCAAGGCCACUCACAAUAUAGUGAACUUCCAUCCCCAAAGUAAAGAGUGCAGCCGUCGUCGAAGCAACAAUUGCCGCAGUCUGUGUAGGUCUUAGUUCCAUUACAGAUCUUGUACGCCGUCAGUAUGCAAAUCGGUACGCACGGCCUGACAGCCAUGACUUCCACAUUUGCUCCCAGAAGAAUCAUUCCACAAAUCGCUUGGACUUAUACCUGUGUUCUUAUAUAGACGAGAAGAGUAAAGAGUGAAUUCAGAUUUAUUUAGCCCGCCCACCUGCCCUCCUGCCACUGGGUGCAAUUAUUCUGCUCAUUGUGCUUCCACGUAAUCGUGGGAUCAGUCCAUCCUAAAUUAUUGUGUUUUUGGAUCCGUCCAAAAUUAUCGAGUAUGUUUAGAUAGGAAAUUAUUUGAAAUAAAUAUAUUAAAAAAUAUUGUCAUACUUUUUGUAAUAUAAUGUUUAUAAAAUAAAAAAAUAGUUGGAAAGAUAAAAAAGUACUUGAGAAAUAUGUUUAUGAUGCAAUCAUAUAAAUUUUUACAAAUAAAAUGAUAUCCAAACAAACCCAAUCCUCCUUCGAAUUUUGGGACCAGUCCAUUCUAAAUUAGGGAAAAUAUCAGGAACCUCCUCUAAGCUUUCUCUUAAUAUCAUCUAUCACUCUUAAGAUAUUAAAAAUAUCACUUGCCUCUUUUACUUUUAUUAUUUGGUGAAAGCCCUAAACUGCCCUUUUGCUCAUUUUGCUAAAUAAAAAUACUCAUAAGCCACUUUGUUUACGCCAAGAAAAAUCAUCACCUAAAAAAUAAUUUCUUGUAAUACCACCAUAUCACAAAACUAUAGUCCAUAAAAACAUUAAUUUGGAAAACAAAAAGAUGUUAGUAGAAAUAUAUUAACAUCAAUUUAACUCUAUAUGCUCAAAAUCGAUUUCUUAUGAACUUUAUAUAUUUUUUUCCAACUUCUUCUCAACUCAUGGUCCAAUCCUUUAAAUUGUACUAAUCAUUACAAAAAUCAACUCAAAAUAAACAAAGAAAUCAAACCCCAUUCUACCAUAAUCACAAAAGGUAAAAGAUAAACAAAAUUUAAAAAUAAAAAAUUGCAUAAUCAACCAAAAAAAUGAGUAAGAGAGGAUGUUGGAGAAAUGAGAAAGAAAAAAAAAGUGACUUUUGUUUCCUUUUUUUUCUAUUUUUUUAGCUCUUUAUUUGAUAUUUAAAUUAUGUAUCAAGCGAGGGCUAAUAAAGUCUUUUUGUAAUUAUUAUGAGAAGUAAGUGUUGUUUUUAAAACCUUAAGGGUACUAAAUAAUAUUAGGCGAAACCUCCAGAGUGGCUUCUGAUAUAAUCCCCCUAAAUUAUUGUGCUUCCAGGUCCAUUCUAAAUUAUUGUGCUUCGACAGAAAUUGGGACCAGUCCUUCGUCAAUUAUUGGAAGCCAGUACUUCCUGUGCAUUCAAUGUUUUACUAGAAUUCCCAUGCAAAAUUAGUCACGUUUUUGCAUGCCUGUCAAUGUCAUUUAAGAUGCGAUGCACCUGUGUUUGAUAUACAGAGGACGUGCGACUUUUUUCAAAACACAUAGGCCCACCAAUUGUUUCUAUUAAAUGAACAGGGCAACGUUGAAAUAGAUUGAAAUGUAUACAAGGCAUCCUUUGCCCGCGCUGGGUUGGUCUGCGGGUAAAAGUAACCUCCUUAGGUGAGUUUCACCUGGGUUUGAUCCCGUACAGCAAUUCAAUUGUUAUCUUCUUCAGUAUUGAUCGGGCUCGCUCUGCUGGAGCGUUGUGGGAUUAGUCGAAUGUAGAUCCGGAUACCCAUAGUGAUGAAAAAAAAAAAAAAAGUAUAUAAGGCAUCCUUAAUCGUCUUUGAUCAAUGUAUUUGGUUUCAACCUAAUCUGUUGAUAGUUUUGUAGUCAUGCAAAAUUGGCAUCUCCCAAGGAGAGAAUCUUGUUUGAGGUUUAGACAUCUCCAAAUUGCUACUCAGUUUAGUUAUUAACUUGAAUACCUACUUUAGAUUUUUUUUGGAACUUGAGCUCACAAGGUCAAUUUUUGAAGUGGGAAAUGCAAUCUUUGUCCCCUAUUUUUAUUCCACCCACCAAAAUGAUGGCAAAUGUUUCACCAGAAACAAAUAAAAUUAUCCCUUGAAAUUAUUCUGAUAUCCACCAAUAAAAUUAUUUCAAUUUCUAAUGGAACGAAGCACUUGAAAUUCACUGGAAUUUUUCUAGACGUGCCUAAUUAUCACCAUUAAUUGUAUUGAACACAACAUGUAGAUGGUUCUUUUGGUAACCAAAUUGCUUGAUCAAAUGCUAAUUAACUUUUUGGAUGGAUACUAGAUUCUUUAACUAAACAAUGAGAGACUCCACAAAUAUAUUAAUGUGUUUGAAUUUGUCAACGGGGUGCUUUUCUUUUUUCGCUUGAAUAGAAUCGUAUCCUUCAUUUUCCUCAUAAUACUUUCACUUUGAAUAUUCAGCAUAUGGAUGUACCAAACUCAAGAAAAUAGUUGUCAAGUCUGUAGUUUAUCUUCUUAAUUUUAAUUUAGUUUGAUAUUAAUAUUCAAUGAUUUCCAAUAAGAUUGAAAAUCAAUAAAUCAAUUAAAGUAUGUAAAAAAGUUUUUUAUAUGCUUCGUUGAAGACAAAAUUAGUCUUAGUACAACACUUUACAUACUUAAUAUCUCUUCUUUUUUUCCCUAGUAUUCAUGAUAAGAAGUAGUACGUACAAUGUGCAACACACAUUAUCUAGGUUUUUUUUUUUUUUUAAGUAAGUACAUUUUUGGAAUUAAUUUAGUAAGAACUAACUUAUGCAUGAAUUCGUCAUAUUGAAUAACGCUAAGUUUCUUCCUCAUAUUCUUCUAAUGUUAAUUCAGAGUCAAAAUCAAGUAAAUCUCCGUAGAGCCAAAAAUGUUUUUUGAUUUUGAAUUAAAAAAAAUAUCUUCUUUUGUGCUGCAGAAUUGGUAAGGUGGUAGUGAGAAAAUGUGACUUGCAUCCGUUGGGGUUGAUUUUGAUUUUUGAGUAAUUGGUGCCCAGGUCAAGAGCUUAGAAUGCGGAUCUCAUGGAGGUAUAUAUGAAUGAGUACUUUUCUUAUAAGUUCGACAAAAGUUUCAAGAACUUGACGAUUCUUUCAUUUUACUUGAUCCACCAAUUUCUUGUUCAUUAUUAUCCAGAAAAACAUUAUGGAGACGUUAGAGUACAACCCUCAUGGAUAAUGUUCAUGGAUAAAAUUGGGGUUUCUGGAGUUGAGUUUCAUCCAAUUUAUAAGAAAAGUACGUCGCUUCUUAUAAGAAAAGUACUCAUUCAUAUACUUCCAUUUUAUUGAACAUCAUGAUUCACUCUAUCUCAUGAAUCACUGAUAUAGUACUUGGCAUAGUUAUUAUACCCAUUAUUUAGUACUCGUUUAGACUACUAUAUCUUGUAAACUCCUUUACCAAACCCCAAUUUUUGCACAGGCGGCCAAGUACAAUACACUUCCCUUCCACCAGCAAAGUGAAAAGUGCAGCCCUUGUAGAAGCAGCAAUUGGUGCAGUCGUCGUAGAUCUUCUCUCCAUCACAGUCCACGUACUCGAUCCCAAUUAUGCAUAAGGUUGGGCAAGCCUUGUCAGGCCCAGGCCUGACGGCCGUGACCUCCACAUUUGCUCCCAGAAGGAUCAUCCCUGUUUUCAGUACCAAAAUCAUCAUUUUAAAUCAUGUGAAAAUCAAUUGAGAGAUGGGAUGAAUAGGUUUCGAUAUAUAUAAAUAUAGAUGGGAUGAAUAGUUCUCUUUUUAUUUUUUGAAACUGCCCCAACAGGUUUAACUCGCAUGCCAAAGAAUAAAAUUGAACAUACCACAAAAAAGAAUAGCCAUUGCACCAAUCUUGUUGACUGCCAUCAUGAUCCCUUCUCUUUGUCCUCCAAAAGUUUGCCUUUGAUUUGAAAUGGCUUGGACUUAUACCCAGUAGGUUCUUAUAUAGACGGUGAGAAGCGUAAAGAGUGAGAGUCUAUCAUGCUACUAGGUGCAAGUAUUCUGCUUAUUGUGCUUCCACAGAGUCGUAGGAUCAGUCCAUUCAAAAUUAUUGUGCUUCCGGGUCCAUCAAAAAUUAAUCUUCCUUAGAAUUUUGGGACCAUUUUUUGACAAAUGAAAUGACAUCCAAACAAACCUAACUGUCCUUAGAAUUUUAGGACCACUCCUUUGUGAAUUAUUGGAAGGCAGCCGGCCCAGCGUACGUUUCUUUUACGAUACCCAGCCAUAAUUUGGCCCAGUGGAUUUGAGGUUGUUAGCCAUCCAACAUAUUGUCCUUCAGCAACUUGGAGGCCGGAGGAGGGUUGAUCAGGGCUGUUACCACAAAAUGACUCAUUGGAUUAAUUUAUUUGGUUUCUAAAAUUAAGUUUAGUUUAAACUUUUUUAAGUUUACGCUUCAUCUCGGUACAAUUUUUUUUUUUGUUUUUUUUGUUUGCACUGAACUAGUUUUGUUGAUAAUGGUCAACCUAAUUGGCGUCUUCCAAGGAGAGAAUCUUUUUUAAGGCUUGGCGUUCAUGAGAUUAAUUUUUGAAUUGGGAAAUAAAAUUUUUGCCGCCGAUUUUUAUUCCAUCCACCAAAAUGAUCCCAAAUGUUUCACCAAAACACAUAUCUGGUGCCUCCCAAUUAUUCUAAUAUCCACCACUAGAGUUAUUCCAAUUUCUAAAUGAGCAAAACACUUGCAACUCAUUGAGCAAGCCCCAAGAUGGACAAUUAAGAUAUCAAAUUCAGAAAACCCUCAAAUUUUCAGGAGUAAAUGAAGAAGAAGUAGUAGCUGCCUUCCUGGCAGCUGGUAGCUACAAGCAUUGCUGAAGCAUUUAUGCGUUCAUCUUCAAUAUCCCAUCUCUCAAUUCUGAUCAAAGCUUCACUGCCAAUCACCCAAUUAAUUUCACAGAGAAAAAGAUGGUGUGGAUCAGGGUACGUAGGCUGUGUUAGAGAGGAAGCCAAAGAAAGAGAGAUGGGCAGACGUACAACGCAUUGCAUUGCAGUUGCAUGUGAAGACAAUAAAUGAGACCAUGCAGGGCUGGGUGGAAAAGUCGGUGAUGAUGAAUUUCAGAAUUGAUGUAGCGGUCCCAGACAUCUAUUAGACAGUGGGCUCCGAGGUGGGGAUGCUAAGUGCUAACUGGUGUCAUCACGGUCUAUCUUUGAAUUUCAGCCAACACAAGCUUGCUCAGUUUGUCAGCUUAGGUUACUUCCUAAUAAAAAAAAUUAUGUGUUCGAAUCCUGUUGCCGAUAUAAAGAUUGUAUUGAUGAGCGAUUUAUAAGAAUCUCUAUAACUGAACUCUGGUCUCGAAAACAUGCGAAUAUAUACUUUGACCUGUAAUGGUGAUCGGAGUUGAAUUCAUUCAAAUUUUUUUCCUAUAAAAAAAAAGAAUUUCAGAAAAUGCCGAGAUUUGUAACUCAGCCAAAAAUAAAAUAAAGUAAAACCAACAAUUAAUCAUUCAUUCACAGUAGCAAGUGUUCCUCAAUCUGAGGAUAAACCUCAAUCAGACACCUUGCACCCAGACUGGAUAUACUUGGCAGCUUAAAUCCAGCAUCCACAAAGAGUUUUUCCCGUUCCUUCUCAGUUCUUUCUGUAGCAGAACCGAGCGUGAUCAACAUCUGCAUGUCCAUGUUGAUCUGUGUUUGAAGUUGUACUUUAUCUUGUAUCUGGCUUUCCAUUAGACUAUCUAAAAUGAUCACUUUACCACCAGUCUUUCUCUGGAAUGGCCUUUCUGCAGUUCUUUUGAAUUUUCAGUCUUGAUCACUCCUAUCAUGGAGGAUCUACUGUUCAUACCAUAAAAAUCACACGUUACCAUCUUGGAUAUAUACUAGUUCGAGAUCAUGCAAGCAAAACAGUUCCGAAGAGAAUAGCAAAAAGGGAUGCAGAAAAUCCUAAAAUCCCCUAGAAGAGUGUCUUUUAUUACCUUGAGUAAGAUUCCAUUGGCAUAGGGUACACUUUCAAACAAUUCUCCAGCAACGAAGUCCAAGUUCUCAACUCCUUCUUGAUUAGCAAUUAUAUGUGGGGGAUCAAACACAGUGCAGUUGAUGCUAGGAAAGCUUUGGGCAAUGGCCUUAGCAAUUUUGCUUAUGCCACCCCCAACAUCAACCAAAGUUGUCAAGCCCUCAGCCACAAACUUACGUUUGGUCCUCACAGUCUAUAUACACAAAUGAGAAUCACUUGCCAUGACUUCAUUAAACAAUUGCCUAAACCAGAGGGUUUCUAUACCAGGGGUGUGUUCGACCUCAUCACGUACUAUUUUUUUAGAGUUCAACCUCGACUCAAAUACUAUUUGAGCUCAAUUUUGAGUUCAAUUGUAGCAGUCAAAAAUUGGUAUCUAUUUUUCAUGAUAUUAUUCAUGGAUCGGGUAUGAAUUAAAAUAGAAAAAAAUUCACCAUAAUUUUUUAAUAGUCAAUCUGAAAAGUAGAAAUAAGAAUCAUAUAGAUAUAUAAUAAAGUCGUAUUCUCAUUGUUAUUCCUUCAUGUUUUUUCUUUUCUACGUGGCUUAACGAGACGACAAGUAGUUUCCUAAUAGGAUUCUUAAUAAAUCAUAUAUAUAUAUAUAUAUAUAUAUAUAUAUAUAUAUAUAUAUAUAUAUAUAAUAAAGUCUUAUUCUCAUCCUUAUCCUUUUAGUUUAUCUCUUUCCUACGUGGCUUAUCGACAUAGCAAGUAGGUGCAACGCGCUCUAUUAGUUAACUCCCUCAUAACCUACGCUAUUCUAUCUCUCUUUUUUCUCUUGACUUUACAAUUCUAGAUUAUCCUUCCAUAAUUAUCUCUUCUAUUCUCUCACCUUUUUUUCCCUUAACCCUAAUCAUCAAGCUUAAAUUUCCAGGGGAUUAGUAUAAAUAAUUUUGAAUUAUGUUUUCAACUCUCUCUCAUCUUCAACUCAAAAGUUUGAAAUAUCAAUUCAAAUAUUAGAUUAUCUUUAUCAGAUUAUCGCUAUCGAAUAUACUCUAUAUUUUUACUCAUAUAUAUGAUUAUCGAUCUAUUACUCAUCACUUUAUCAAGCAAUGCAGAUGUUUACACUUUUCCACAAUGUUUUUGGAAAUUUGUUUUUUCCAAUACAAGGACCGAAUUUGAAAUUUCGUUUUUAUUCCCUUCAAUGCAAGGACCGCAUUUGGACUUUGUUUAUGCUCGCUAUAUGUGGUCUAUAAUUUCCUACAUCUUUUUCAUAGCUAGGUCAUUGAAUUUAAAUUUUCUAAGUCUUCAAAAGUUACAGAUUGGUUUUUAUUUCUGGCAAGGUUUUUGUAAUUAAUUUGUUAUUUCAAUUUAUGAAUUCACUCUUCAAUUCAAGUAGAACACAUAUUGCUUUUUUGGUUAGUGAUUUAAAAGUGGCCUUUUAAACUAUGUGUUUUCACAUGAUUUUUUAAUUGCCUUUGACAAUUUAUUAAUUGUCUUCAACAAUGUAUUAAUUUUUUUUUUAUUUUCUAGGUUUUUGGGGUUAAAAAAAUUUUGUGCAGUUUUCAAUAUUUUUUUUUUUGGACUUUGAUAGAAAACUUCUAAAGAACAAGAAGGUGUCAUUGAUUACAUAAAUAGCAAGACAUCAAGUUCAUUGUCAUACAGUAAUUCACGUUAUGCAAUAUACAUUAGACUAUUUAGAUUUUUUAUGUUUUGACUUAAUAGCAAAAUACAUCUUAUGUUUUCAUUUUGGUUUCUAUUAGCCAUGAACAGAUUUAGAAGGUUGCUAUGUUCCCGUGACUUGAUUGAUUUUGAAUUCUUAUCUUUUAUUAAUAUUUCAUUCAACUUCUUUUCUUUUCACAUUAACCUUUAAGCCAUUUAUAUUAAGUACCAAAAUUGAUGUUUUGGUAAUGGGUUGGCCAUUCUUUUGUUUACAAAAGAUCAGCCAAGAUUUGAUCUUCCAUAUUUUCAAGUUUUUGAAUGUCAUCAUAUUGUCGAUUUUUUUUUUGCAUUUCGAAUUAUUAAUCACUGAAUUAGAUGUUUAAAUUUACAUUAUAAGACUAUUUUUGAAUAACAAUGUAUUUAAGAAAGGUUAUAAUAGAUUAUACAAUAAGUUUGUAUUUUAUGAAAAUAUUUUUAUGAACUACACUAAAUAAUUUAUUAAUUUUAGACAAUUCCCAUUCAACGAAUGGGUACAAAACUAGUUUAAUAAGAGAGCAAUUUCAAACACCUAAAAAAGGGGGAAAAAAAAGAAGCAAACUUAACAGAACACUUUUUCCAACUUUUCGGAUGAGGCUCUAAUAAACAUUUUCACAAGAGUACAAAAGAAUUUUCAUUCUGGAAAAAAUAAAUAUAAAAAGGUUCCAUUUAAUUUUAUUUUUAAAAGACUAACAAAGAGUUGUUUUACUGAAUUUAACUAAAAGAGUUGACAACCUUUGAAAAGAUAAAUAUACUUGUAAAAAUUAAAGAAUCUAGAGUCAGUAACUAGGAAACUAAAAUAAUACAGAAAGAGACAAAGGGAAAAAGGAAAUUCUGAGUUAAAUGAUAAAGAGAUACAGUUACAAAAAAACGAAAAACAAAAGAAAAAAAAUUAUCAAACAUAUAAACGGAAGACGGAAGAAAUAAGCAACCCUGCAACUAGUUGCAAAAGCAUCAAUCACUACUUCUCCCUGCUGCCAAGAAACUCGCUGCAAACUUUCAUAUUGCUAUCCCCUCCAUCACCAUUCUCUCCCUCCUAGACCCGAAUAGAUGCAGUCUCUCUCCUUUCAAUCAAAGUAUGCAUAGAUGCAUGGAAAUUUUUGACACCAUCUCUUGAUAGGUAAUUGCACUUGCUGAUUUCAAUUUGAUUUCAUAAGAAACCUGAUCACAAUUCAAAAAUUUUGCUGUGAUACUUUUUGAAUCUAAUUGCUCUUGACAUCUAGGUGAGGAGUUCAUAAUGUUUUUAAAAAUCAGACCGAAUUGACUGGUUCAAUCGAUUGAAUCGCAAACCGAUUAUGCCUUUCGUCUAGUUCAUAGCUUGGGUUGACAAGAACUAGUCAAAUUUGGAAAAAACUAGUUAAUUCGUUCAAACCAUAUCAAACCGAGAACCGCGGUUUUUUUUUUUUUCCAAACGAUAAAACUUUCAUUACUUCAUCAAAGGAUUACAAAAUCUGGAGCAAAGGCCCCUACAUCAUUUUUGGCUAUACUACUCAGCCAAUUUGGAAAUGAAUCCAACCAAGUUAUCUCAGAAACUAAACUUAAGGCAAAUUUUGCCAGCUGAUGUGACACAGAAUUCCCUUCUCUCUUAAUAAAAGAGAAAAAACAGGAACUAAAACUUUUACUCAGAACCUCUAUAUCAAAAAGGACAGCUCAUGCUAAGUGAUCAUUCAGGUUCCCUUCCCUAAUCUGAUCAAUAAUUCCCUUGCAAUCAGAUUGAAUGAUAAUGUUCGUCCAGCCAUUCCUUUUGGCAAAAAUCAGAGCUUUCCGGAUUGCCAUAGCUUCUUCAACAGCAGGAACUCCCUCUCUCCCUUCACAACCAGCCCAAGCACCUCUUAACAUUCCUUUACUGCAUCUAGCAAGAACUCCCCAUCCUACCUUAGCUUCAUUCUUCCUAAUAGCUGCAUCAGUAUUUAAACAUAAGAAACUCCCAGAUGGUGGCUGCCAUCUAACCAUCCUUUCUCCUGUUCCCCUCCCAACAACUACCUCAUCUCCUAAUGCCAUGUUUGCUACCUGAAACUCUAGCCACUCUUGCACUGCCUUGUUUGCUGUUACACCAGGACAUCUUCCCUCCCUAUUAAACUGUAUGUUAUUCCUGGAUUUCCAAAUCUGCCAUAAUACAUUAAUAGUCAGCUCAAUAUGCUCCCUACCUUCCUUCCUAACCUUUGCUUCCAUCAAACCAUUCUACCACAGCCAGAAAUUAUGCCUGCAGUCCCUCAACCCAUCCCAACUAAUUGGGGCAGCUUUCCAUAUUAGCUCAGCAUGCUUACAGAAAAAGAGCAUGUGCUCCAAUGUUUCUGUCCCUUCUCCACAAACACAGCACCUAUCAUUACCUUCUCCAAUUCUCCGCUUAAUUGUCUCAUUAACUGGCAAUAUGCACUGGAGACAUUUCCAAAUAAAAUGCUUGAGUUUAUGCUUAAUGUUCAGUCCCCAUAGAAACUUCCACACCCCUGAAUUAAUGUCGUUUCUGCUGCUGCUUUCCUGCUGUAGGCUAUCCUUGCUACCCUUGUUCUGUAUUUCCUUUGCAAUCACAUAUCCAGACUUCACAGUGUACUCUCCUGAUUUAGACAGCAUCCAAACUAGUCUAUCCUUUCCCCCAAAAGCACUUAUUGGAAUAUUAAGAAUUCUUUGGCAGCCCUCUUCUUCAAACAGAUUCCUUAGUAAGUCCUUAUUCCACCUUCCCUCAGAAAUCAACUCAUGAACUCUCUGGAUACUACAAUGCAGAGGCUUUUUUGAUCUUAUUUUCCCAUCCUCCAAAUCAAGCAACCACUUGUCCUUCCAUAUCCUAAUUUGCUGACCAUCUCCCACUCUUUUCCUAACCCCUGCUGCUAACACCUCCCUUGAGCUCAGGAUACUUUUCCAUAUCCAGGAAUCCCCUGCAUGGCUUCUCAUGUUCCAAAUGGAGGAUCCUCUAAAGUACCUUCCCCUGACAAUCUUGCUGACUAACAGGUUGGGCCUUGUCAAAAUCCUCCAAACCAGCUUAGCAAGCAUAACCGUAUUAAAUUGUUGGAGAUCUCUGAAGCCCAACCCUCCUUUCGCUUUUACCUCAGACAACCUCCUCCACUCCAUCCAAUGGAUUCUCCUGUUUCCCUCCCUAUCCCCCCACCAAAAUCUUGCCAUUUCUUUAUAGAUAUCUUUACAUAAACCUUUAGGCAAUUUGCAGCAAGUCAUAGCAUAUGCAGGAAGAGCUAGUAUAACAGAUUUUAGAAGCACCUCCUUACCAGCAUUACUCAACAGCCUCUCUUUCCAUCCCCCUAGCCUGUUGCAGACCUUCUCCCUGAUGUAGUUAAAAAUCUGCCUCUUUGGCCUUCCAAUAACCAUUGGUAAGCCCAGAUACUUACUUUGCUUAGCUUCUUUCAUACCACCCAAGAUAUUAAGUAUUUCACCCUUUACUGCAUUCCCAGUAUUCUUGCUAAAGAACACUGAGGACUUCUCAGCAUUUAUGGCUUGUCCUGAGGCUUCCCCAUACAGCUUCAGCAGAUUCAUCACAUGAUCAGCCUCCUCCUUAUUUGCUCUGCAAAAUACCAAGGUAUCAUCUGUAAAAAAGAGGUGAGACAAGGCUGGACUCUGCUUAGCAAUCUUAAGUCCAGAAAUGUCAUGGUUAGUCAUGGCUCUCUUAAACAAUCCUGACAGUCCCUCAGAAACAAGAAAAAAGAUGUAAAGAGACAGGGGAUCUCCUUGCCUGAUACCUCUUGUAGGUGUAACCAAACCUCUUUCUUCUCCAUUCAAAUUAAAAGAGUACACCACAGAAGACAUACACUUCGAAAUCCAGUUUCUCCACUUUUGACAAAAACCCAUCUUUUCCAUUACUUUUAGCACAAAAAUCCACUCCACUCUAUCAUAGGCUUUGGCCAUAUCAAAUUUCAAAGCCAUGAAAGCAUUUGAUCCACAUCUUCUGUUAUUCAAACAAUGGAUGGAUUCGUGUGCAAUAACAACAUUAUCAAUGAUCUGUCUUCCUGGGAUAAAAGCUGACUGGUUUUGGCUAACACAGUGUUUUAGGAAAGGCUUAAGUCUAUUGACCAGAAUUUUAGAGAUUAUCCUAUAGACAACAUUACACAGGCUAAUGGGUCUAAACUGAGAGACAGAAACUGGGGACUCAAUUUUAGGAAUGAGAGUUAUGAUGGUUUCAUUGACAGCCCUUAGUAAGUACCCAGAAUGGAAGAAACUAGCAAUGGCACUUACUAAAUCAUUUUUUAGCACACUCCAGUACUGUUGAAAGAACACAGGAGUCAUGCCAUCAGGCCCAGGAGCUUUGUUGGGUUGCAAAGAAAACACAGCUUUUCUGACUUCCAUUUCAGACACAGGUCUAACUAGCAUAGCAUUCAUUUGGUCUGUGAUCAUUGUGGGGAUCCCACUCAGAACAGGCUCAAACUGCUGAGGAUUACUGGUAGUAAAAAGCUUCUGAAAGUAACCAUCGAUUUCCUCCUCAAUAUCUGGCUCAGAGUCACACCAAGAUCCAUCUCCUCUUUGUAAACUGGAAAUAUUAUUCCUUCUUCUCCUCUCAGUAACACUAGCAUGGAAAAAUUUUGUAUUUUUAUCCCCCUCCUUCAACCAUUUGACUCUAGCUUUCUGUUGCCAGAACACCUCCUCCCUCCUAUAGGCCUCUUCCAGUUUCUUCUUAAGUACUCUCACCCUCCCAACUUUAUUGGCUUGCCCAUCCGUAUUAGCCUCUAUGAUCUUCUGCUUCAGCUCUACAAUUUCUUUCUUUGCAUUCUUACCCUUUUGUCUAUUCCAGUUCAGAAGAGCCAUUCUGCAAUUUCUGAUUUUUUGAUGCAGUUUAAAAAAUCUAGAUCCCUCAUGCUGUUUCUCCCAUUCCUUAGACACAAUCUCCCCCACUUCCUUAUUAUUGAUCCAAUUCCUAUCAAAAUAGAACCUCCUUAGCCAUUUCCUACCCUUUGGCUCAGUGUCUAGCAGCAGCAUAACAUGAUCAGAAGCAUUAUUUUGGAUAUGUAUGCACUUAGCCUUCUCAUGCUCACUUCUCCAUUGUUUACUGCAAAGAAUUCUAUCUAAACGCUCCUUAACUUCCCGCCCUUCCUCCCAGUGAUUCAACCAGGUCCAUGGUAUCCCUUCAAAACCAAUGUCAACAAGCUAAUUAGAGAUUACAAAGUUCCUAAAAAUUUGAAAACUACUCUCACACCUCCUACUACCCCCCACUUCUCCUCAUUUGACAGGAUGUCAUUCAUGUCACCUGCCAACACCCAAUUCUGACCCCACAUACUCAUCAUAUUUUAUAUAAUCCUCCAUUGUUUCUCUCUGAGCAGAUCCUCACUACUAGCAUACAAACAAAUCAGCCACCACCUGUCCCUAGCCCCAGUCUUUUCUAGCAACACUUCAAUGGUAAAGUCAGUACAAAGUACCUUACAGACCUUCAAAUCAAUCCUCCACAUUACAGCCAUCCCACCAGCUAUACCAAUAGGAUCCACCACCACCAUUCUAUCAUAUCUUAGCUUAAGUCUUACCCUAUUCAUAACUUCUUCUUUAUUUUUUGUUUCUGAUAAGAAAAUCAACUCAGGGGAGUGGAGUUUAACACUCUCCUCUAUCUAGGGAACUGUCAAGGGGCUCCCAACAUCUCGACAGUUCCACACCAGAGCUCUCAUAGGGACCUGGGAGCCCCAUUAAGGUAGGACUCCACCACCCCAGAUGCUAGGUCCACCCCAGCCACACUACACACAGUCUUGCCUCUCUUCUGACCUUCCUCUUGUUCACUAAUAUUUUCCUUGUCCCCACUCUCACUCAGCUUCCUUUUACCCCCUUCAUGCACUAUGACCAUACCCCCAUUCUUGUCCUCCAGAGGAAUUCUUCUACCUACCUCCCUAACCAACCUCUUCCACCCCCUAUUCCUCUUAUACUUUCCCCCUCUUAGCUCCUUACUACCAUCCAGCUCCUGUUGUGCUGUCACAGGAUCACUCCCCUUAUCCCCUCCCUUCCUCUCCUUACAAUCAGUAUCAAUGCCAUCAAUCAACAUAGAAUCAAAUAGUUCCUGCUCCUUCAGCUCCCCUCUCUGGCCACCCUCCUGUAUUUUUUCCUCAGUAGUGAAACUCAGUCCCUUAGUAACUUUACUCUUUCCCUUACCAGCAUCACCCUUCUUCCUAUGAUCAGGCUGCACACUUUCUUCCUUAAUGACUUCCACCACCACUCCCUGGCCCCCAUUCUUUCCAGUGUCUUUCAUCAAAACCCCUGGAUCCCUCUCCUCUCCCUCAUUCCCUUUGACUAUAGAAUCUCCCUUUACCUCUACUAGCUUCCAGGGCAGGCAGAGUUGUUCCUGCCCCCUGUUCCCCCAUUCCUUAUCCAAAUGUGGCCCUUCACUAACCUUCCCCUCCUCCUUACCAGAAGAAUACUGCUUCCUAAUAGGACUCCUCGCAUUACUUGCUCUAAGCCAGGCUCCAUACUGAUUCUUCUUAUCCAUAUUCCCCCUUCUUUCCCUGCAACUCCUCUCAUUAUGCCCCAUGACCCCACAACAGUAACAAAAAUCAGGGCAUUUCUCAUAUUUAAACUCUAUCCAUCUAGAACUGCCCCUCAGCUUAACCGUGGUUCCUCUCAGCAUAGGUUUAGUUAAAUCCAUCUCAACCAAGAUUUUUAGAUGUUUCCCCUCCUUCCCACCACCACUAGGAACAAUCACCUCCCUCACGGAGCAGAACACUCCCCCAAUUUUCCUACCAAUAUCCUUUGUAAUCCAAUGAAUAGGUAAGUUCCAUAGCUGGACCCAAAUCCAAGUCCUAUUAAAGGCUUCAAGGUUCAGUUCUAUCCCCUCUUCCCAGGGUAAAAUUACCAAAGGCAAAUUAUCAUAAACCCAUGGCCUUCCCCUCAGCACCUUAUCCAUGUCCUGUUUAUUACUAAAGCUAAACUGGAACAAAUUAACCCCUAUCUCAACAACCCUUAGAUUUCUUGCAAACGGCCACAUAUUACUGGCAAAGCUCUUUAUACCAGCAAUGUUCGCAGUCUUCUCUCCCACCACCCUCCCGAUAAUGCUCAAUUGACAUUCCACUACUCCCUGAGCCAGAUCCUUACUAUCUAACUCUACACCCCCAGCCUCAUCCUCAGUUAGAGCAAAUUUCCUCAAAAUUUCCUCCAGAUCCUCAGUCAUCCUGAGCCAAUACUAGUAAGAACCCCAGCGAAUCACAGACCAAGCGAACAAUACCAGUAUCCAGACCAAACAGAAAUAGAAGCCACAAAAAGCUAAAGAAGCUACAUAACCAAAACGCAGGAAAACACAAAGACAGGAACGCAGCCAAACGAACAGCACAAAAGAAGAAUAGGAAACUUAGAAAGAUAGCACAAGGCUACUACGACUACUACAAAGGAAGAAGUCACCUGUAAGCAGAACCUAUAUCGAUGGAGAAAAGACUCUGGAGUAGAAAAACAAUCGCGCUAGCAGCUGUAAUCAAGUAGCAAGCUCAGCCGAGCUCAUCAGAGCGUCGAAUCCAGCUUGAGAACUCAAACUCGCAGACACCACAACCAAAACUCAAUCAGGAGUAGGAUGACAGUAUCAUGAUAAUGAAAUUAUUCCACCAAAUGCACCAUUGAAGCACCGGCAAUGUGGAUCAAAAUGGAAGAAAUAGCUUCAAUUUGUCUGAAUUGUAUUUGUUAAUUGAAGGUUUGAAAUAAGAAAAGUACGGGAAAAUUGAAUUUGAAUUAAAAAGUAACUACCCAACACCUACUAAAGGUGAAGUUGGCUCCCUACUUAGAGAGAGAAAGUAACCACCUACAGGAGGGACUGCAAAAAAAUUGCUAAUUCAGAACCGCGGCUUUUAAUUUUUAAAAUAUUUGAUUUCUUAUUUCGAUCAACUAUCUAGUCUAACUAACCUGAAGUCUAACUCCACAUUCCACAAUCCCAGCCUUCUCUUCUCUUUAGUCUUUGUACUUCCAUCUUUUUUUUUUCCUUCUUAAGACAAAAGUCCCAACUUCAAUUCCCUUCUUCGAUCUCCAAUUUUUUUUUUAUUUCAAAAAUACAAUCUCAUUGCUCAAUGGCAGAGAAUCCUAACUUCUAACCAUAUUUUUUUCUUCAUGUAUUCUUGCAAAAGUUGAAGCGCACGGCUUAGCAGUUAGCUAGUUAGCUUUGAAAUUUCAAGCUAUUACCAGGUUAGCUUUACAUUUUCUCUCUUUUUUUUGCUCAUUGUUAGUUUGCUGUGUAUAUGUUUUUUAUGGUCCGUAUUUUUUCUAUUUAACUUAGAAUUAUGGGUUAAAUUAAAUAUUUUGAGUUGAUUUUAAAAUAUGUCCACUAUUGUUGUAUAAACUUUAGAAGAAAAAAAUCCAAAUUUUACUAUAUUUCUUACAAAACUUCAAUAAUUGACGAUGUCUUUGUUGGGUCACUGGCUAGAAACAUUGCAUUUAUUUAGUGAAAUGUGGAUGUCUCAAGUCUGCUUACCAGUUGUUUGAUGAAUUGCUUGAGAGGGACACAUUUUGUUAAACGUUGUAAUGAUACGGUUAGAUAGCUUGGAGUUCAUAGUCGGUUUAGAAAAUGAAACUGGAGUGGUUUCCGGAAGAUGUCAUAGAUUCAUAGUUGCAGCCUUAUCCUAUUUCUUUCUUGUUUUGGUGAUAUAUAAAGCCUUUAUAUAUUUAUGUAUAUAUGUCCUAAGCAUCUAUAUAGAUAUUCGUGAAUCACUUUUCUAGUUCUCAAUUCCCUUCAUAGCGGUGAAGACCAAUUUCAUGACCUUGUUGUUAAUUAGUUGGUGAAGUCCAGUUUCAUGACCUUGCUAGUUCUCAAUUCACUAAAUUUUUGCUCAAAUUGUUGAUUUCGAUUUUCUGCAUCAUUUUUCCUACCCAAUAUAAACUUGCUAAUUUGAUUGACUAAUAUAAAGACAACAGGUUUUUGUCAAUGUAUUAAUUAAAUUUUGCUCAAUUUAGAACUAACCAUUUAAUUAAUUUAUUUGUUUGACUAAUUGUAUUUAAAUAUCUCAUUUUAGGAUGUAUGCUGGUAGUGGUAGUAACUCACAAUGUUCACCAACUGUUUAUCAUGUUAUAUCUAUGGGAUAUCUUAGUAUGUGCACAGGAGGGUGUGUGUAUAUAAUUAUUGAACUGGGGUUGAACCAGUUUGAUCGGUUGAAUCUCGAUCCGAUUACUUUAUCGGUUCAAUUAAUGGUUCGAAUUUCAAAAUAUUGAUUUGGAGAGGAUAAAAUUGGAAGAAGAGUGCUAGGCCUUUGAUGGGUAGCUUAGAACUUAAGCUGAAGGAUGGACUUGUAAUUGGCUGAAACUUAAGAGAGGUAUAUGUAAUUAACCCUAUAAGAAAAAUUAAAUUUUGAUGUAUGUUGCUGUAGAAUUUAUAGAAAAUUUUUUUUGAGUUAUAUGAAAAUUUUUUCCUUUUUUCUUUUCUUUUCUCUCCUCUUUUUCUUCCCCACCUCACCAUUGCUCUUCCUCCUGCCUUCCCGCUACCAGCCGCCAUUGCCAACACCUCUGCCGGCGAAGGUGUUAUGUGAUCGGAUAGGGGGGAACAAGAAGAGGAAAAAGGGAGGAGGAGGAAACAAAAAUGGAGGCUGCCGAUGGAGCAGCCAGCUGGCGGCACCGACACUAGCGUCAGCAAAGUGCCGAGUGGCGAUGCUUUGCUAGAUUUUAAAUGAUUCUUUCACACUGUUGAUUACAUAUACCACAUAGUAUCGGUGAGGGUACCUCCUGAGUGGACCAUAAUGAAAGAACCUUUCUUUUUUUUUUUUUUUUGGAUAAAUCUAUCAAUUUUUGCGAAUUUCCGUUGAUGGUAUUAAUCUUGCAUGUAAAAAUCUAUACAAAAAGUACUAUAUGUAGUUCGUGAAUUGGUACUACACCGCAAUGUGGCAUAACUGGUCCACUUAUUUGUUAAUUUUUCCCCGCUAUUAAUUUAAAUUACCAUCAUUAUGGUUUUUGAAUUGACGUUUUCUGCGUCAAGAUUAAUUAAAAUUUUUUAUUUUUUAAAUAGGAAAGAAAUGGGAUUUAAGAAACGAGAACGAAGAAAAGAGAUUUAAAUCUAGAACCUUCAAAUCUAGGGGCCUCAAUCUGAACAAUUAGAGCAAAACUUCUUCAGCAACCUCAAGAUUAAUUAUUGUUUCCACUCAUGAACCCCAUUUUCAAGGCCGUACCAAAGGUUGAUUAUCAAGCCAAAAUCUUGUAGUUGUUUUCAAAUUUUGCCUUUAUUUAGCAAAAAUGAAAUGACCAAAGCUAUAUUCAUCCUGUUUAUUUUCAUUCGGGGCAAAACAUGUUUUCAAAGACACUAUUGAAUAGAUAAUAAAUUAAGUGUUGUGGAGUGAAAUUAGUCCAUCAAAAGCUGUGACCAAGAAAAACCCCUGUGUUUGGAUGUGGAAUAUAGCAAAGUUGACAUGCACAGAAAAUUGAUUUUCUAAAUCAAUUUCUACAGAUAAUAAUCAUAGAAAAGUAUGGUAGAGCGUGUUUUCCAUGCAUUACCGCAUUAUACUGUAUUUCUUGGAUACUGUAAUCACAUGGGCUGUGUGUUAGUAAAAAUUUUUCAGUCCAUCACAAACCUAACUAGCUAGGGUUGAAACAAAUGAUUUUCAAUGAUUGACAACUAUCCAGCACACAGAAAGGAAACGUCCCCAGUAGCACCAGUGAGUUUUAUGGUUCUUGCCUUCCCCUAUAUAUAUUAGUCUCCGAAUUGAGACCCGAACCAUCAAACUUGCUCAGGAGAUAUCUAGCCGGUGAUUUGCUGCUGAAAAAUUCAGCAUUGAGAAGAAAUGGAGAAAGCUUCAAAAAUGCUGAAACUAUUUACUUUUCUUGUGAUUGCUUCAAGCCUCUCUCCUGCACGCACAAAAAAAAAAGUAAGCUAAAAUUUUCAACAUCAAUCCCCUUAAAAGUUAAAGUUCUUACGUUAAUGUCUUUGUAUAAGUCAAAACUUUGCACCGCUUAGGAUUCCAAAAAUUUUCUUAUAUCCCACAAUGAUCUUAGAAGUUCUCAAUUAUAUCCUCGUAAAUGUUGGACUUCUUCAACCCGAGUUUUUUUUUUAUUUUUUUUUUUACAAAAAUGUAAGAGUGUCCCCCUAAAUAGUACCAUUUUUACUUGCCUUGCCCAGCAAAUCUCAACUUCUGGUUUCAACACCGCCCACAAAUACAUUAAACUGGCACGGACAAGUUGACUUCUGAGUUCAAUAACUAUUGAGACCUAAUCACCAUUAUUAAGCUUAAUUUUAUUUAAUCUUAAAUUUUUAAAUCUUAUCGAAUUUUACUCCAAACAACUCUUUACUUUUGAAAAUUUUUGUGUGAAGACAUAGAAACAGUUCAUGCACUACAGGGACAUUGGACAUUUCAAAUUGUUGAAGUCUCAACCAUUGACAUAUAGAUCUCAUUUGGACGCACCAAACAAUACAUGAGUAAAAAAUGGAACUUGGAGCAAAACCAAUUUGCCCUUUCCCAUGCUCUACUGAUAUCGAUUGUUGGAAUAAACUUUGUGCCCUGAGUAGAUGUGACCAUGUCGGCGAGAGUCACGUCAAACGAUGUGUCUAGCUUCUCCAUAAUUGCCCCUUAAUUUCAUCUAUUGUAGAACCAAGGGAUUUGUAGGGUGCUUUCAAUAAUGAAGCAUUUAAGGAGUCAUAUGCAGUGGUGCCAUGUAUUAGGCUGAUUUCGAUUUUUCUUGACGUUGUUCAUUUUAUUCUGUUGCUUGUAUUCGUCAUUCAUCGUCUAAUGUUUGUUCAAUUUGUGUCAUCGUGUAAUCAAAUGUGUCGCUAUUUACAUGGCAAAUUAAAUUGAAAUAUGUGUGAGGCAUCCUUAAUCUUCAUUUGAUCAAUGUAUUUGCUUUCAAAAAUUAAGUUCAAAUUAAACUUUUUUAAGUUUAUGCCAGAUGAAGUUGUAAAUCAAUGGACUCCAUCUUAGUACUUUUCUGUUUACAGAACCAAUUUCAUUGAUAAUGAUCAACCUAAUCCGUGGAUAGACUUGUAAUUAUACAAAAUUUGUGUCUUCCAAGGAGAGAAUAUUGUUCAAGGCGUACACGUCUCCAAAUUGCUACUUAGUUUAAUUAUCAACUCAAAUACCUACUUUAGAUUUUUUGCAGCUUGCACUGACAAGGUUAAUUUUUGAAGUGGAAAAUGCAAUUUUUGUCCCCUAUUUUUAUUCCAUUCACCAAAAUGAUCCCAAAUGUUUCAAUAGAAACAAAUCUGGUACCUCCUAAUUAUUCUGACAGAUUGUGGUACCUCCUAAUGAUUACAAAUGUUUCACCGCAGUCCACGAACAGAUGGUGGGAUGGAUUGCUCCCCUAUUCCUGCCAAGAAUCCGCAAGUCCCAGUGCAAUCUGUGAGUCGAUCUGCGGACUUGAGGUCCGCAGAUCCAUCCACGAAUCUGUUCUUUGGCUUUAUUCUUCGUGAGUUUUCAAUCUUUGCAUUUAAUCCAUUCCUGAAUCUGGUUUUGGGAGGUUAGAAUCCGUCAAUGGAUUGCCCCAAAUGCUUUUUUCUUCAGGAAUCUUUCCUUCCUUUGCUCAAGUGUCGCACGCAUUGCAUUUCUUUAUUUCUACACUUCAUAAUCAUUUUAAAUGCACUUUAAUUCAUCAAGAAUCAUUCAAACUGCUACUCGCUUCAUUCUAAAUGAUGAUUGAAUUGAUGAAACCUACAAAAUAUAAAAUUUUAAUUACUUAAGUCCAUAGAAAUGCAAUGUUUCUCCUUUUAACCACAAAAUGCAAAACUCAACUAAAAACCUUGUUAUUGGACUCAAACUUAAUUGAAAACACGACAAAAUACACAUAAACAACUACAUAAAAACAUGCAAAAUAAGCAUUUAUCAAAAUCCAUUAAUAUAUUUGUGGAGUCUCUCAUUGUUUAAUUAAAGAAUCUAGUAUCCAUCAAGAAACCUAAUUAGCUUUUGAUCAAACAAUUUGCUUACCAAGAGAACCAUCUGUAUAUUGUGUUUGAUACAAUAGUGAUUAUUAGGCACGUUUAAAAAAAUUCCAGUGAAUUACAAAUGUUUCGUGGCUGGAUUUGUGUCAGCAGAGCAGCGCAACUUGCACAAUAAUUCAACCAUCCUCUUCCCUAUAGAAGGGACUUCUCAUGGAUGAUUUUGCAGAGAAAAAUAGAGAGGACAAGAGGAAAAAAACCACAACAAAAUGUUGAUCUUUGGCUAGAAAUUAGUCUCUAGUUUAGAUUAGGAAUAGUUUAUGAUAGUUGUAGUCCAUUCUAGUGUUGGCUCAACAAAGAGGCCAAGGAUUAAGAAAAGUCCUGUGUAAUCUUGAUGCAAUGGAUUAUAGGAUGUGGAGUUGUUGGAGGAACUCUUAUUUCUUCAAUAUGAAUGAGCAAUUUCUUUCCUUCCCUCUUUAGUUUUUGUUACAUUGUGUAUGAUUACAUGAGUGACUUGUGCUUAUUUUUGUACAUACUUUCAUUAUGUCUAGCUAAUCUUUUGCUUGGAGAUGGAUGAAACACUUGAAUUGUGAUUGUGGUUGAUGCUGGUUAAUCUCAUGAUGCCUUGUACUUGACUUGUUUAUUUAUUUGGCUUUAACACUUAGGGUUGCUUAACCACCAAUCUUAGCUCACACUAGUUGAUGGAUAGGCAAAGAGAUUUGCUAUUCAUUAAUGGAAAGAAAAUAAAUAAAAUCUAACGAGUAGGCAGAUGAAAGUAAUCGUACCUUUAAGUGGUUAUUUGCUGUAAAUUUCAUGAAAUAGAUUCACCGUUCACUUUGGAUCUCCCUACAAAAGUAGGAGUACCUUAGGAUUGAUAGCGCUAGUUAGUUGUGAGAGCGGGUCUAGGUUAUAAUUGGAAAUGACCCCGAGCGAGACAGAAGCCAUUAGGGAGACCCUGGCCAUUUGAUUACCGAUUGCGAUUAGGCUGUGGAUUCUAUACUCUUGAGUCUUGGGUUAGUCGGUUUCCACCUUUCUUAACCUGUUUUUACUGUUUGCAUAGUGUACUUUAUUUUGCUUGUCUUAAGAUUUUAUUUGGCAGUCUAGAUAAUAGAGCAAUUUUAAGUCCUUAAUAAUUGCGUCUAUGUGCUCAUUAUGGGUUUGACUCUUUAUGUUCCUAUACUCGCUUAUAACUCGUAUACUUUUGAAUAUGUUGUGAGGGGUAUUUAAAAAUUUAUAUAUAUAAAAUUUGACUGUAAAUUUGAGCUUAAUUUUAUAUGCAUACCUCAUACACAUCAGGUUUGAAUUUAGUAACAGGGGGCUAUUCUUCUUUUUGCUUGAAGAGAAUCAUAUCCUUCGUUUUCCUCUUAAUAAUUUCACUUUGAAUAUUUAGUAUAUGGAUGUACCAAACUCAAGAAAAUAGUUGUCAAGUUUUUAAAAAUUUCAUUAAAUUUUUUGGAGGAGUUUGUUUGGAGAGUUUGAUGUCUAUAGUUUAUCUUCUAAAUUUUAAUUUAGUUUGAUAUUAAUAUUCAAUGAUUUUCAAUAAGAUUGAAAAUCAAUUAAAGCUUGUAAAAAGUUUUCUUUAUAUGUUUUGUUGAAGAAAAAAUUAGUCUUAGUACAACACUUUACAUACUUAAUAUUUCUUUUAUUUUUAGUAAUUAUGAGAAAAAAAAAUUUGUGACUAAGUAUGACAAAAAGUAUACGUAUAAUGUGCAACACAUAUUCUUUUAUGCUAGUUUCUCUAAAUAUUGGACAAAAGGGGCAUAAUUUUAGAAAGUAAUAUGUACAACGUCCAACACACGUUAUCUUUUUUUUUUUUAACCUAACUACAUAUUUGGAAUUAAUUUAGUAAGAACUUAUGCAUGAAUUCCUCCUACAUGCUUGUCAAACUGAAUAAAGCUAAUUUUCUUCCUCAUGUUCUUCUAAUGUUAAUCUAGAGUCAAAAUCAAGUAAAAUAUCCGUAGAGCCAAAUAUGUUUUUUGAUUUUCAUUUAAGAAAAAUAUCCAAUAUGAAAGGAUGUUUCUUUUUGUCUUGGAAAAUUGGUCAAAGUGGUAAGGUGGAAGUGAGAAAAAUGUGACCUGCAUCAGUUGGAGUUGAUUUCUGAGGAAUUAGUGCACUGGUCAAGAGAUAAGAAUGCUGAUCUCAUGGAUAUAUAAAUAUAUAUAUAUAUAUAUAUAUAUGAACAUUAUAAAUGACGGCUAUACUCUAAAGGCUCCAUAAUAUUAUUCUGGAUAAAACUGAGCAAAUGAUGCAAAAGCAGUUGGUCGAUCAAGUAAAAUGAAAGAAUUGUUAAGUUCUUGAGACUUUUAUCUAAAAUGGGUUUCUCAAGUUGAGUUUUAUCAAAUUUAGUUUGGUUGAUAUCAUAUUUAUAACAUUUGGUGUACACUUGUAUAAUUUUACCAUAAUCAUAAAUUUUUCUCCAACUUUGUUGUAUGACUUGAUAAAUUUCAAUUAUACUAAAAAUUGUAUUAGUUUACGACACAUAUUGUAAGAAAUACAGCAACUGGAAAAGUCCCGAUCCACUUUUAGUUCUAGUUUCCACCUCUCUCUCUCUCUCUUUCUGUUUCCCUUGUAUGUUUGGGAGAAUUAUAAUUUUUCGAGAUGUAACUAGUCAUUCUAGGUGCUGUAUCAUUAAUUUGGCUAUGUAUGACACGUUGCUUCUUGCAAGAAAAAUAUUCAUUUAUGCUUCCAUUUUAUUGAACAUGAUUCGCUGUCUUACGAAUCACUGAUAUACAACAUAGUUACAUUCCACUCUCGUGGAAACUGAAAUACAAACUAAAAGGGACAUAUAUUUUUCCCAUUAUUUAGUACUCGUUGAGCCUGAUAUUGGCUGUCUAAAGCACAAACACCAAUCAUGGAAUUAAUAUUUAGCAUAAGGCCAAUCACAGUAUAGUGAACUUCCAUCCUCAAAGUAAAGAGUGCAGCCGUCGGAGACGCAACAGUUGGUGCAGUCUGUGUAGGUCUUCGUUCCAUUACAGACCUUGUACACGGUGCCCCCUAUGCAGUUUCGUGGGCAGGGCCUGAGGGGCGCUUGCCUGACAGCCUUGACUUCAAUAUUUGCCCCCAGAAGAAUCAUUCCUGUUUUCAGUACCAAAAUCAUUUUAAAUCAUGUGCAAACCAAAUCUUUUAAGAGGGGUGAGUGCAGAUAUUUUGAAAAAUCAUCCUUAUGUGUGUGUACGUGUAUAUAUAUAUAUAUAUAUAUAUAUAUGUAGAUGGGAUGAGUACUUCUCUUUUUAUUUUUUGAAACUGCCCCAAGAGGUUUAACUCGUAUACAAAAGAAUAAAAUUGUACAUACCACAAAAAAGAAUAGCCAUUGCACCAAUCUUGUUGAUUGCCAUGAUUCCUGGUCUUCCAAAAGUUAGCGUUCUGAUUUGAAAUCGCUUGGGCUUUUGGAUAGGUUCUUAUAUAGAUUGAGAAGAGUAAAGAGUGAGAGUUGAUCGUGCUAUUAGGUGCAAUUGUUGUGCUUCCGUAGAGUUGUGGGACAUGUCCAUCCUCAAUUAUUGUGCGUCGGGGUCCAUCUAAAAUUAUUUUAAUGUGUUUGGAUAGGAAAGAUUUGGCAGCCUACAUUGGAAUGGGGAUUUGAUCAGCGUUGCUUUGUUAAUUGUUGGGUAGUGAGUGUUUCAACCUUUUGCUAAACGGGUUCUAAUAAACUUCUUUAUAGGGCUUGCCUAGCCACCGUUAGAAAAGUCUACAUUUAGUUCACUUAACAAAACAAUUUAGUAAUAAUUUCAUCCACAUUAUCCUAGAUAAUAUAACAAGCUACCUAAUUUCUAGACAUCCUCACGCGUGGCAUGAGGCACUUAUUCAAUUGGUCAAGAAUAUAAUUCAUGGCCACCACCUUCCCAGAUUGGUCCAAGACAAUUCAGAUGAAGGAUUUGUCAAAAGUCAUUAGUGACUUCGUUGACAAAAGAUCACAAUGAGCCGUAGCAUUUGGGGAGAAAACUAUACAAAUUUGUUGACAAAAGGCCACAAUCGGCCAUAGCAAUUAGUGCGAAAACAUUUACUUGUAUACAGAUGGUACUAACUACACUGACAUGGAAGAACGGACAAAUUGCCAAAGUCCAAUUUUCCAGCUCGAGCGUGACAUUUGUGGACGGCCAACCGUGCCUGUCUUCAGCCAAAUCUACACGUGAUUUUCACUGGAUAUUCAGGCAUCUAGACACUAAAAUAGACGAGGAAAAAUGGUGCUGCAUGUUUGGCACCUUACUAAAAUAAAUGGGAUUCAUUUCAUCGGUUGUUGUGGUUAGGGAGAAACGCUUCGAGAGUGCUCAUCAAAUAAUUCAAUAUGUAGAUCAGGAAUCCAAUUCUGAUCCAAAAACUUAAACUAUUAAGUCUUGAACCCUUAUUUAUAUAUUAAGUGCUCUUUCUCCAUCUUUCGAAUCAAUGUGAGACAUAAUCCUUUAUUCAUAAAUCUAACAAAUCUUUUCCUUUAUGAGUAACCCCUCAUAUUAAACCCAAGUUUAAUGGCUCUUCUCUGAACUCACAUUAAUACUCAACGCAAACCCACCUUAACACCAAAGGCAAACCCAAGUUUAAUGGCUCUUCUCUUCUAAUCAUGGAUCCACUAUUCUUCAAUAUCCAAAAUGGAUUCUGAACCCCUACCAACCCUUGGCUCCUUGGUCUAAGGACAAUUCGAUCCUCGGCCAAACCCAUGGCGCUCCUGGUCCAAUAUCAACCAAAUUCCUUAGCACUUUGAUUCAUCACCAAGAAGAAAAUUUUCACCAGAUCAAUUCCUAAAAUAAUCCACUUGCCCAUGAGUAGCUCAAUCUAGCAACCUGAAACUCUGAUACCACUUGUUAGGGAGGAAAACCUGGAGAUAGCCCAUCAAAAAAUUCAAUAUGUAAAGUCAAGAACUCAAUUCUGAUCUAAAACUUUAAACUAUUAGGUUUCGCACCAUUACAUAUUAAGUGCUCUUUCUCCAUCUUUCGAACCAAUGUAAAAUAUAAUCCUUUACUCAUAAACCUAAUAGUUGUGCACCAAAGCUCGAGAAAAAAAUAUAAAAUAAAUGAGGCCAGUUGUUGAAUAAGUGUUUGAGCAAAUAUUAAGUCUAAGGUCAAUUACCUUCCAGGGUUUAAUGUGUAAUUGAACCAUUAAUGUUAUAAUAAAUUAUUUUUUUAUCAUAUGGAAUGCUUACAUUUAUAUAAGUAUGAUAAAACUCUUAGAGUAAACCUAAUCAAUGAAAUCAUAGAGUUAUAAUGGUGAGAUUCAUUCAAUUAUAAAUAAGUUUAUUCUUAAAUAUUUCUAGUCGAAAUAUUAACAAGAAAAGGCAUUGUUAAUACGGUUAGACUAGCAUAUACUAUGCCGCUUCAAUAUGAGAAGUAGUAAACCUGAUAUACAUGAUGUCUGAAACUUCUAAAUUAGUAUAUUAGUGCUUGAUAAGAUGAUCAAGUUCAUUAGAUUGAUCCGUACAGAGAUAUCCUUUAAGUACCAAAUGAUUGAUCUCUAAGUGACAUUUGGGCAAGUGAUUUUUAGAUUUAGUAUUAUCAUGGUAUCUUGAAUACAGACAGCUAUACUUUAUUUAUUAUAUGAUUGCUCCCAUAACAGAGAAUGCUCACAACAAUAGCAAAUGUGUAUAUACUUGAAGUAUGAAAAAAUGGUGAAUACCUAUAAGAAUUUUCCACCUCUUAUGGAAGAGGAGUUAUCUCAUGUCUGACCACUUAUAGAAGUAUAAUUCAAAAUUCUUUGUGCUAAAUGGAAGAGUUUUAGACAGUAUUUCUAUAUACUUUUUUAUUGGAUUUAUGUUUUGGUACAAGAAAUGAACAUUAAUCUCAUAUUGGAAUAGACACAAUUUAUUCCAAUAUUAAUGUGAGAUAAGUGUGGUAAAAAAAUAUUAAUUACAUGGUAAACAUUCGUUGAAAGGUGAAAUCAUCCACUUCACUUUUUUUCAUUACUUGAGUAGUCAUGAUGCAUUGUUAGAUGUCAAUCUUAGUUUAUAAAAAUGAAUUGAUUGAUUGGUAGAAUCAAUGACAAAGUAAAGAAGUUUUAAUUUAUCUAAUUUCAUUUAUUAAAAAUUAUAACUCUUACUUAUUGCCAACACAUAUGAGAACCUAAUGGGUCAUACACAUAAAGUACUACAUUAAAUAGAUUAAAUCAAUUUCAAGUAGGGAUUUGAUAGAUAGUUUUUAUAACUUAUAGUUUAAUUUGUGAAACAAAUAAAAAUUGAGGGAUUUGUUGUGCAAAUAAGUUUAAGUCUUUCAAAUACAAGAGUUGUAUUAGGAUAAGGAAGUUGAAUCCUAUUGGAAACUGGUUUCAGGUUUUCAUAAGGAUAUGGACAAGUUAUUUGUUUAUAAAAAUACUCACUAAACAUUUUUGCUGUCAAGACUAAUUGAUACACCAAUUGUCUUGUGAGAUUUUUGAGAAAAAUCUUGAGAGAAAAAUACCCAAAAUUCGUCCAAGAAAAUAAGAGAAGAAUCACAUCUCUUAUUUUUCUCAUUGGAGCAGUAAUUCAUAGUAAAAAAGUAGUGUUUUUCUUAACCAAUUUAUGGGAAGUGCCUUGGCAAUAGGGAGCACUAAUCUAGCUUAAACUGAUUCAACUUAGUUUAGGUUCGUGUGGAUCACCGUUAAAGACAGAACAUUUGUAUUGUUACGUGGAUCGCUUUGCCCUUCUUUGUCAAAUCUCCGUCGGUUUAAGAAGAUUUUCAUGGAUUGAAGUAAUUUUCUUAAAUUAAUUUUAUGUCACAUAGAUUUAAUCAAAGGUGGAUCUACUAAAGGAAUAAAAAAUUUUAAAUUUUUCGCUAUGCAUAUCUCUAUAGUUCCUUACAAUGGUGUCAGAGCCAGAUUUGAUUAACCCAGGUGACAAAUUUAUUCAAUUGUCAUGGAUGAUGAUUAGAUCACAAUUAUAUGCUAUUCUUGAAGUUAGUUUUGGGUUUUAUAUGAACAAAGUUGAUUGAAAAUUUUUUAGAAUUGUUUUUAAAAAUUUUUUAAUGCUUGUAAUAUGAAGUUUUCAAUCGAAAAAUGAAGUUUUUUUGGCCGCUUUAUGAUGAGAUCACGAACGGCACAAAAACGAAGAUAAAGUGAUAAUGGCUAAAUUUGCUGUCUUUUUUAAUGUGUUUCAUAUUGUUUUUGAGUCAAUUUGUAAGAUAUUUGGUAUGAAUUGUCCAUUUUAUGUCACUAAUGAAUUAUUUGUGAUUUUUUAUCAUUUUACUUGCAAAGCUUCUCUAUUUUUGUAGGUGAAAUGAUCAAGUUUAAGUGGAAUUAGAAGUAAAAUGAGCACGGAUAUGAAGCUUGAGGAGUCACAAUAAAUGCUAAGUGAAGUGGUGCAAAGGAAAAAAGAAAACAAAAGGAGAGAAGAUGAAUCCGUGGCAGAAACUGCUCGCAUUUCCUCAUGCGGUUUGUGAUCAGAACUUCAAUUCAUAGUUGCUCUAUACAAUCCCUGGAAGAAUCCCUCCAGGGAUUCGUCCAAGGGAUUCCUGGCAGCUGCAAGUUACCAACUUGCAUGCUUCUUGUUUCUUUCUUUAUCUUGAACAAAACACAAAAGGACAAUUGCUACCAACUUUUGGAGGAUCUAGGAGCUUUUUUGUUGACUCUUAACAACAAAGAAACACAUUAUUGAGGAGAGAGAUUGGCUCCUGAAAACCAAGAAUAUAUACUAGCUAGUUCUUCUAGUUUGAGGAAGAGUGGGUAGUGAGUUCAAAAUUAGCUUGAGAGAAGAGAGAGAGUUUGGAGGAAGAAGAAGAACAACAAAAGGGUUGUGUCUUGCCCUUUGGGGCAAGACACAACCCUUUUGUUGUUCUUCUUCUAUUAAUGUAACACAACCCUUUGGCGCAAGACACAAACCCUUAAUAAAUGUAAUUCUCUUUAUUUUCUCUUAUAUUAAUGUAGGUUAGUGUAGUAUAGUCUAGUUGUGGUUAUCCAAGCUUGUAUUGGUUCAACAAGGAGGCCAACGGAGAUGAAGAAGGAGAGGCUCAAGAAACUCUAGUAACAAGGAUUCUCUUAUCUCCACUUUUUAUCUUUGUAUUGAACUCUAAAUUUGUUAAUGCAAGAUUUGGAUAUUGUGUUUGUGAUGUUAUUUCAAAAUAUAUGCCUUGGGUAUUUGGUUGAACUUUCGAUGAUUGUUUGGUGUUAAUUUCUUGGCUAAAUGAUGCUAUUAUCUUGAUUGAGUUAUUUAGCACUUUUGCUCUUAUAAUCAUGAUUAACUGGCCAUCGAAUAUAAUCAUCUAAAAGUGUUAGAUUUGCAAUGAAAUUUGAAAUUUGACACUAGUUCAUAGAAGUGUUAAACCUAGGAAGUACACUCAUGAAAGUAGAGGUACACCUUUGUGGAUUUUGUGGCUUUGUUCCAUGGAAUUUCAUAGAAGUGAAUGAACUUAUAGUUGAGUUCAUAACCACGAAAGUAUGUAUGAAUUAACUAUAGGUAUAGUUGGUACACCGGCGAAAAUGGGUAUCACAUCUAUUAGAAAAUUAUGCCAUAAUUUAACUGAGAUUUUGGUACUCAUUUGGUUAGGGAGUUAGGCUAGUAUGAAUAGGUAGGGAUUCCAUUAUCCAAGAAGUUUUUAUUUGCAUUUAUCUAUCCGUUUAUCCCUUAGUUUAUUUCUUUUAAUUUGUUGAACAUCUAAAUAAUAAAGGAAUUUAGUAGUGCCGGUAAUUAUCUAUUUUUCUUUAUGGGAUCGACUCUUAAUACCCUAUAUUCGCUCUUGACUCGUAUAGUUGUGACAAAUUACGUAUGGGGUAUUUAUAUUUCUAUAAAUGUAAAACUUGACUGUGGAUGAGCAAAUUAUUAUAUGUAUGCCCCGCACUCGUCAUAAAGCAUGAACUAAGACGAAAAUUGUAGGACGUUAUCAGCAUGAUUAAAGUCAAGGGUAAAUUGUCAUUGAUGCAAGUCAUAUGACCAAGACCCAAGGUUUGAUUAAUCUUGCAUAGCAGAACGUUCUUGGCUUUCUUAUGGCAUGCAUUUUUUUUUAUUUGUUUUGAAUAUCGAACAUUCUUGGUUUGGAUUGAAGAUUAUUUGAAAAUUUUUUUGGGAUGUGAUAUAUAUGAGAUAAAAGGAUAAUUGAAAAAUGUGUUUAUGAGGUAAUAAUUUUUUUCUUUUAAGAAAUUUCAAUCCAAAUAGACGUCUUGAUGACUAUUUAAAUGUGAUGAGAUCACAUAAGUACAAAAUGCAACGAUUAAAGGAGAAACAUAGAAGCCAUACCUAUAUAUAUAUUUUUUGGAAACAGGUUACUUUAUUUCAUAAAAAAGGAGGGCGUACAUGGCAAGCAAAACCAGAAACCACAAGUGCUAGCGUAACCUACACUCUAACUCUAUGCAAACUUGGAACACCCAUUUGAUCAAGAGCGAAGUUACCCCUCACCAAGCGAGGCAAAUCACGCAAUGAGCCAUACGUUAGAGUCUUCCCUGAGUCCGCUCCAAUGUUUGCAAGGCGGUCAGCCGGUUUAUUCGCUUCCCGAAAGCAGUGUGAUACCUCUCUAACGAAUCUUUUGACUUUUAACUGGUCCUGUAAGUCCCCUCGCAACUGCCACGGACACCGAGUCUUCCCUUGAAUGAUUUGAACCAGAACCAAAGAAUCAGAUUCUAAAAUGCAACUCAGAAUACUCACGAUCAAUAGCCAGCCCAACACCAAAAAUCAUCGCUUUCAAUUCAGCCUGCAGACUCGUCAUCCCCCCAAAGAAGCACGAGUACCCUAAAAUAAACCUUUCUUCCGAGCACCGAAGCACCCCCCACCUCCACUCACCCCCCGAUUUCCCCGAGAGCAGCCAUCCGAGUUCAGUUUGACGACAUUAUGAACUAGGCAGCUCCACCGAACCACCAAGGUCCUGGAAACCCUAUGCAGGCCAGCCACCAUACCGUAAAAACUCGGCCAAUCUUGAGCAGAGAUAGUGAUGCUUUUAAAUUUAAGGAGGAAAAUAUCCCUGAGGUCCUAAAAAAUUGCCGCACACACAUGAGCCAUGGGUCGCAGAUGGCCAUCAAAGACAAAUGAAUUCCGCAUCUGCCAUAAAUUCCAACAGAUCAAAGACAGCAAUAAACGGAAAAGGUACUGGAGGUAUGGGUUUCGAGUAGGUUUCAACCACCAGCUAACCAACUUGUGGCGUAUCGUAGAGGACUCCUGAAACCCUCCAAUCACCCCUUCGAAAUAACCCCAAAUCCUCUUUGCCGCCUCUCCGGUAUAGAAAAUAUGAUCAGAAGACUCUUGAAAUGGGUGUAGACAAUAACCACAACAAGAGGGGCCGAAUAUACCAAGUUUAUGCAACUUGCCCAUCACCAGCAAAUAGGACCCUACCAAUCUCGACAUGAAAAAAGAAAUCUUUGUCGGCUGCCCUUGAAGCCAGAGCAGUGAGUAGAGCCAAGAGCUAUUUCCAUUCUCUCGAGCGAUCCGGUUGGCUGAUGCUAAUGAGAAGACACCGGAGGUACUAGGAGCCCAAACCAUGGUAUCCGCCUGGUCCAGCGAGGGAGGCAUGACUCCCAACAUCCUCCCCACCCAUCCGCUAGGCGCUACCCUGCUUAACCGCUGUACAUUCCAACAACCCUGUUCAACAAAAUCGAAAACCGCGCAUAACGACAUAAUGGGCCCGUCUCCAACCAAUUAUUAUGUCAGAAGCUCACAUUGCCCCUAGCCAAAACCCAAUAGAUGUGUUGCUCCGCUACUCCCUGGAUAGCCACCAGUCUCUUCCAAGUCCAAGAGUCCCCGGGAGAAGUAUCAGCAAAGGAAGGAUGAAGGUUGGAGCAAUAUUUACAGUGCAUGAACUCAACCCACAACAAUUGUCGCAAUCGGAAGUGCCACCAUAAUCUCAUGGAGAAGGCAUCAAACACAUGCUUAAGGGAUCUCAAACCAGCACCCCCUGUCAUACGAGUUGCACAACUGGGCCCACUUAAUCCAAUGGAAGCGCGGCCUAGUGUCUGAGGAACUGCACAAAAAAUCAGCAAAAAUGCUCUCCAUCCCACUAAAUAUCGACUUGAGAGGGGUUGAAGCAGCGAAUGUGUGAAGUGGCAUAGAGGACAGCACACUCUUGAUUAGAGCUAAUUUACCACCAUGCGAGAGAAAGCUCUCUUUCCAUAACAACACUUUACUCGUGACCGAGUCACAAAUCCCUGCAAAGUAGCAUCUCUUCCUCCGCCCUGCAUAUAAAGGAUAACCCAGAUAUCUAACCGGAAACUCCUUCGACUGAAACCCAGUCAUCUUCGCAAUAGACCAUUUCCUGCUCCCGAUAAAAUUGGCAUGAGCCAAGACACAGCUCUUUUGUUGGUUCACUUUUUGUCCUGACACUGAAACAUAAGCGUCUAGCGCCUUCAUCACCAAUCGCAUAGAUUGCCGCAACCUACUAGAGAAGACAAUAAUAUCAUCGGCAUAGGUUAGAUGAGUAAUAGGUGGGCAGCCCCGUGGAACUCUAAAAGGCGUAAAACCCCAAUAGCUACUCAAAGUGUUCAACAGACGAGAAAGAACUUCCGCACUAAUCACAAAGAGCACCGGUGAAAUCGGAUCUCCUUUGUCUCAAUCCACGACUAGAUUUGAAGAAUCCCUGAGGCGCUCCAUUAAUUAUUACUGAGAACUACACAUUCGAGAUAAGUCUCCAAAUCAUAUCAAUCCAUACCUCAUCAAACCCAAACCUUCUCAACACCUGGAGCAAAAAUGGUCAAGAGACUCUAUCGUAGGCUUUGGCAAUAUCGAAAUUCAAAACUACAUUUCCCCAUCUAUUCUUCUGGUGAAUAUUCGACACCAACUCCUGGACCAACAGAAAACUAUCACAAAUUUGCCUGCCCUUAACAAAGCCACUCUACUGAGGAGAGAUAAUACUUGGCAGCACCUUUGACAACCGAGUCGCCAGUUUUGAUAUAACCUUAUUGACAAAGUUGCAAAGGCUUAUGGGUCGAAACUGACUAAAGCCUUGGGGUGAGGAUACCUUUGGAAGCAGUACUAUCAAAGUCGACGAACGCUCCUCAGCAGCUUGUGACCAUAGAAGAAGCUAACGACGGCUUCAAACACAUCAUGCCCCACCACGCCCAUGCAAAAGUUAAAAACCUACCUGUGAAUCAAUCCAUCAGGGCCCGCCGCACUCUCCCUAUCCAUUGCGAAUACCACAUCUUUUAUCUCCUCCAUCGAGGGAAGACGCUGCAACUCAGUGUUUUUUUCCCUUGAAAUAAUAUUGGGAAUGACCUCCAAAGUGCUUCAUGACCCUGUACAAGGUUCGACCGAAAAAAAGGCUGUCAAAUACUCCACUGCCUCCUCUGAAAUGUGAGCUUCAUCAAUCAGCCACUCCCCCGUGUUACUCCGAAUCCGGUGUAUAACUGAUUUACCACGUCUCUCUGCCACUACUGCAUGAAAAAACCUUGAGUUUUUAUCUCCAUCCUGAAGCCACUUGAUUCUUGCUUUUUACCUCCAAUAUGCUUCCUCCUUGACUAGAGAGUUCCUCAUAACCGCCCUUGCCUCCUGGAGUGCUAACCAUUGUUGUUGUGAUGGGUCACUAUCAAGUGCAGCCUUCGCCGCCAUUACUGCCUCCUCUGCCUGCUUCACUGCAUCGAAUAUAUUGCCAAAGUGCUCCCGCGACCAAUGUUGGAUUGCAUGUUUAGUGAGCCGUAAUUUGGCCGCCAACCGCUGCAACGGGCGUCCUGGGCAAUAGCUUGACCAACUCAUUCUAAUGACAUCUAACAGCUCUACUUUCGAAGUCCAAACGUUUAAGAAACGAAAAGGUCUAGACUUGUUAUCAAGUUGAGUCAAAGCUGAUAACAGGAGGGGGCAUGAUCGGAAGGCCCUCUGCCUAGGUACCGAACUCCAAAAGUCAUCCCCAUUAAAGUCGUAGUCGGACUACAUAACAGUCUAUCUAGUCACUUCCAAAUUCGAGCACGACCACCCCUAUUGUUACACCAUGUGAAACAUGACCUGAGAAUCCUGCGUCAAACACUCCAGCCUUGAACAUAAAUGAUCUCAGUUCUACACCUUCAUCAGCCUGCCCUGCUUCUCUUCUGCACUAAUAAUGGUGUUAAAAUCCCCCACCACCAACCAUGGAUCAUCCCUCGGUUUAUCCGCUAACAACGUUGACCACAACGGAACGUGCUCUUGCUCAGUACACCUUGCAUGGAUGAAGGAAAAAUAAAUGGGAACCGACAGCACCUGAGGUGAGAUUCUAAGGGACAGGUGUUGAGAAGAUUUCCCAACAGGAGCACAUUGGAAGCCAUCUUUAUAGAACACCCAGAUAGAUCCCUCCUUAUUAACCAUCCAACUAUCUAUAUUGAGAUGAGCACAUAUCAUUUAGAUGUCACACGCCCAAACCUUAGGCUCACAAAUAGCCACUAAUUGAAUCGAGAACUCGAAAAUUAACCUUUUUAAUCUAUGAAAAUUUGGAGUACGCGAGAUAUCUCGAAUGUUCCAGAAUAGAAAAUUAAUCAUCAGAUAAUGCAGAGAAGGAGUUAGAGCACACCUUUGCCUUCGAGCGUAGAGAACGAUCAAUAGGAGCCCACAAGCGAACACCCUUACGCUUAGGUUUAUCAACUAGCUUAACAUCACCCCACCAUUAGUCUUCUCCUGAAUCUGUUGAAUUAUUGGGUCAAGGUUAAAAAUGUCGAUCACCAAGGAGCUAGGCUUACAUUGCCGUUGGACUAGUUGCCCUCGCGGCGAUAGAUUGCCAGUCCUCUACUCAGCCAUGGAAAUGGCCUCCUCCUCCAACUACCCGUCGGACACCACCUCCUCCUCUCCCUCAACCGCUGCCCCAGGUUCAACGCCAUCCCUUCCAUCCACUAACCCAUCAGGCGAUGGUUGCACCUGCACCUGUUGGAAAGGCAACAUGUGCGCAAGCAAAGGGUCCUGCACCAACGUAGCAUGGCCUGCUGCCACCCUUCCUCAUUGGCUCCAACUGCCGCAAGCACCAUGCUGGUUCCAGCAGGCGGCCGCUGCUGUUCUCCCCCCAAGCCCACGGCCUGCGGCAUCGCCAACUCCUCCCUAGAGUCUUCCUGCUGCCGUCCCAUCCUCCAUCAAAGGAUUGACCCAGCCAGCCUGUUGGUGAUGCGCACAGUCUACGACAACCCCUCCAGCACUUGCCCCUAUGCUACCCAUAGGAUUAUCCCCAUCCACAUUCUGCAAAGUUUCCUCUUGGGCAGUCUCCUUUCCCUUUGCAUUAGACACCAGUGGGACGCCCUCAACAGGCACAAGCGAGUUACGCACCUCAUCACCCUUCUUCUCCACCUUCUCCACCUUCAAAGUAGGAUGAAGAACGAAGCAUGAAGCCCUGUCAUGUCCCUGUUUGAAGCAAUAGUCGCAGUAUUAGGGAAGACGUUCCGGGAUAAGCUGCUGCUAAAAGCCACCAUGCUGUCCAUUACCAAUCCAUAUCCGUGACUGGAAAGGUUGUAGGAAAUCAAUCUCCACACACACCCUAACUACACUAGGGCGCACUCCAGAAGCUGUUGCAGAGUCCACGAACAAAGCCUUACCCAAGCAGCUCACAAUCUGAAAGAGAGACUCCUUGUGAAAGAGAUGAAUUGGCAAUUUCGGCAAUUGGAACCAAACCGGCACCACCGAAGGCUUAUGAUCGACAUGGAAAGCGGCUAACCAUUUAAACACUCGCAAAGAAACACCAUGUAUGUACCAAAUCUUAUGAGACCAAAGCCUAAGGAAAUCCACCUCAUUCCCCAAUCGAAUGAGAACAUGUCCAGAGUCGAGUAAGCCUACCGAUGCUGUUUCCCUAAGAUCCAAAGUCAGAAAAAACUUCCAUAUAACCUCCAUGCUAGACCUUCCCUUAGAGAAUUUGCCGACGAGAGCAAACGUGAAAGGAGCGGACAGAGUGUCAAGAUCAUCCUGAGCAAAGGAUAUAGCAGGCUCGCCCUUAUGAGAGGACAGCAUAGCCUUGACAUUGAGCAGGGGCUGAUUCAACUGAGAGAAGAGUGAAGAGAAAGACUUCAUUGCAAAGGUGGGAGAGAGCGAAGAUGGUUGCCCUCCAGGCAUCAGCCGGAGGGCAGCCAUGGCUGCCAUGUUGCAAGCGAAACCCUAGGAAGAAGAAACUAAGGCAAGUCGGCGGCAACCCUCGAAGCCAUACCUAUGAAUUAAGAUGAGCCAAAUUAAUUGUUCAAAUAGUUUGACUUUGUAAACUUAGGAAUGUUGGCCUAAUAUUUAUCAUAGUCAAAUUGAUUUGCCUUGGUUUCUUCUUCCAUGCAUGAAAACGUUUCAUGCCUGUAUUGUUUGGUUGCUGGAAAUUGCAUGAAAUCACUGUUUUACAAUGGUUUUUAACGUAGUCCCACCGCAGCUACUUUGUUGCAUUUUUUUUUAUUCUUGUUGCUUCGAAUUCCUACCAUGUAAUGAUGGUGAAGUUGAUGUUUGAUUGGUUAACAAUUGCUAAAAAUUUUCUGGAGAAAGGAAAAUUGGGAAACCAGUAAGUUUCCAAUGACAAAUAAGAUAUGGUCAUUGAUUUCCAUUUUCCGUGUGGGUUUCUAAGACAACAUGAAAAGUUCCUAUAUUUCUAAUAUGAUUAGAAUUAUGGUAUUUUUUUAAAAAAAAUCUUAAAAAUUCAAAUUGGAAAAAAAAUUGUUCAAUUAUGUUUUGAAAACUUACUAAAUUUUGGUGAGACUAAAAUUAAGAAAGUCUAAUCAACUUUAGAAACUUCCAAAUUUGUUGAGAUUAAAUUUGGCAGGUGUUGAAAUACCUUAGAAACUUUCUAAUUUAAUGAAAUUAAAUUGGGAAAAUACUCUAAAGUUAGUAUUUGAAAUUCUAAAAUGACUUAAAAGAAAAUUUCCUUUCCUAAGUGAAUUAAGAAAUUCUAGUUGGACUAGAAAAUCAUUAUUUAGACUUGGGCUCAUAAUCAGAUUAGGCAAAAGUUUUGUUCAUGGUUUUAAAAUAUUGAAAAUUGUUCUAAUGAGAUUAGAAAAUGUAUUCCAUAGUUUUUUCAAGAAUUGAAACUUUAAAUGGCUUAAAAUUUGAGCAUAUAAUGAUUCACGAUUAGAAUUAAAUAAAUGCAUUAUUAUACUUUCAUUUAGUGUUGUAUUAUGUGAAUGCAUGAUGGAUGGUUAUGGACUAAAACCAAUGGGAAUGGUUGAAUGUAUGUAUGUUUUGGUUUUGGUAUUUUUGAAAUAGGACCUAUGUGUCUUGCUUUCUCUAAAUACUCUCAAUAUAAAUGCUCUUUUCAUCUCACUCCCAUUGAAUGUAAGUCAAAGUUUCUCUCAAUAUUAUGUAAUGGACUAUAUUAGGCAUGGGGAAAGGUUGAGAAUCUAAAAUAUUUAGAUUAGGUUUAUAUUUAUAAUGUACAAAGAAGAUGGAGAUGGCACCAAUUCUACCAUGACAGACAUACAAAAUGUGUACAAGGCAUGGAGAUGUUAUUUGUCUCUUAGUUGACCAUCUAGUUUUCUUUUGGCUCAAGAGAACUAGUUUAGCAAUAAAAUCCAUAAUCAUCCAUGUUUUAUUAUAGUCUGUUUAUUUAUUUAUUUUGAUGAAUGGAUAUGCAUGUUAUAUACUUGAUGAGACCAACUUGGAUAUAUUAUGUCUAAAAUUCCUCAAUUAAAUGUUAAGUCUGGACACAAGUUGCCUUUCAUUGUUAUAGUAAAAUAGGAGUUCUUGUUCAAGGACGUAUUUUAUUAUGAGUGAGAUCUUGGAAUAAUAAGUUAAACUUAACUACAAUAUAUAACUUGUUCACCUCAAUGAAGGUUGUAUGUUGUAGAGGCAAAGAUUGAGAAACACAUAAGAUGCAUCUUGUCUAAAGUUGACAAUUUAACUAUCUAGAAGUUAUAAUUAUUGUAAUUGGUAAUAAGUACCAACUUGUUUUAGUUAUCUUGGUUUAUUCACCUUAAUGAAGAUUAAAAUAACUAAAAUGAGAUUCUAACCCACUAGGGAUUUUUGAAUUCCUGGUUUCAUGUUUGAGGGUUAUAGUAUUAAAAUAGUGGGAACAAAAUCAAACUUAUUUUUAUUUUUACAUAAAUAGCAAUUCUCUUUUAUCUUUACAACUUGUUGAAGAAAUUAUGAGUAAUUACAUAUUAUUCUUAAUAUAAUUAAUAUUUUCAAUUUCUUGGACGGGCAAAGAGACUUGAGAAAAGUUUUCAAGUAAAUCUGGUUAUAUCUUUUAAAACUUUAAUACUUCCAAUCAUGGAAGAUGGAAUGGAAUUAAUAGUAUAUGCUUAUAGUAAGUACAAAGGAGAUGACGAUAGUGUGUCAUAGAUGCUUCCUAAAUCUCCUAUGUUACAAGGAUUCAUUUUCUUUCACCAUAAUUAGACAUCUCAAAGCGUUGAAUAACAGAUAAUCAAGGUUUAAGAUAUAUGAAAUUCUUGAACAAUAAUUCCAUCACUAAAUGACAAAAUUUUCUCUAAAUAAACAUUGAUUUAUUAGAGAAUGAUUAGCUAUAUUGAAAAAUUAGGUUAAUCAAAUUUUGUCAUGGACUAUAAGUCAAGUUUUGACUAAAAGAAUAUAACUUAUCAAGAGUUGAAAAGGUGAAUCAAUUAUCAAGAGUUGAUAAGUUAAAAGGUUUUAAAGAAUAAGUCUUAUAGUACAAACUUUGAUUGCAUGAUUUUAACUUGAAUAAAAUGUAACUUUGUGAAAGUUUUAUUUUAAGUUAAGUUUAUAAUUGAGAUUAAUUAGUAUAUUUACUUCUAAAUUAAAUUCCUAGGGUAUGAGAUACCAGAUAUUCAAUAUGCUAGGAUUCAAAAGAAGUAAAUUAAAGAGAAAGGUAAUGAUAAGUAUGCAUUUUGAGAUAUUUAAGUGUGUUUUAUUAUUUAGUUUUGGUAUGUUUUUAUCCAUUUUUAUAGUUAAUUAACUAGGUUUCUAGUGAAAUUUACAUUUUAUGGUUUAAGUGUGAAACAUUGCAUUUCUACAUGUUAAAAUGGUGACAAUUUCAUGUUUUUGUAGGUUUAAUGAUUCAAUCAUCAAAUGGAAAUAAUUGCAAAGACGUUUGGAUGAUUGUUGAUGAUUUGAAAUGAUUUAAAAAGAAUACAAAGUACUAAAUUCUCAAGAGAUGAAAUGCAAUCAAGUAUUAAAGAAAAAGAGUUUGACAGUUUUGAUAGCUGUUGGUAUUUCAAUUAUAUCUUGAAUAACCAAUAUCAGAUUGAGGUGAUUCUUGAGCCAUUUUGAAGUAAGACAUAACUUAACAUUUCUUAUAAAGAUAUCGAAAUCCAGUUCAUGAGUUUUCAUAGUCACAAAUUCGAAAUACAGUAGACCAUUUCUGUUGUCAAAGCUGAAAUAGGAGAUUGACCAAUCAAGGAUAUUUUGGUUAUUUUUUCAGUUUGCAGAACUCCAAAUUGAGCGAUUCUUGAAAACUAAAAAAGAUAACUAAAAGGGCCGCAACUUUUGUGUUUUGAAAAAAAGUUAGUUCAGCCUCUAUUAUCAAGAAAAUAUUAGUAAAAUUUGGUGCAAAAAUAGAGUAAGGUUGAAGAUUGGUCAGAAAUGAGGAAACUUGCAAUAAGGCAUAAUAUGGGGUAAUAUGCGACCUCAUGCCCACAUUUUCAGAGGUCACGUAUGCUUCAAUUGCAAUUACAACUUACUCAUCAAUUUGUUCUAUAUUCACACAAUUUUUUUAACUAUUCCCUAACUCAAAAUUUCGGCUAUAGCUAUAAAGAAAAGUGUAGAGAUUUCAAGAAACAACUUUUGGUGAUUUCAAGAGACAAAAUUGUCAACUAGAAACAACUCGCGUUGAGCUUUAAUGUUCUAUGGGAGCUUGCAUCGGAAUCCAGAUUUGAUCAGCGUUGCUUUGUUUAUUGUUCGGUAGUGAAUGUUUCAAUUUUGAUUCCGAUUGUAUAGUGCUAGAAAUUAGUGGACAUAAAUAUUAGGAAGUACCUCUCUUGUUAAACUUUACUCUCCAGCAAUGGAAAAGAUUAAUUUGCCAAAAAAAUUGUUGAAAAGAAUCUGAAAUGAUUAAUAAAAAAAAUAUUGCAGAAUCAAAAGUGGUCCUAGUUUACGGUCAAAUGAAUGAACCGCCGGAAGCUCGUAUGAGAGUUGGUUUGACUGCCUAACUAUAGAGCUGUUAAGCCAAUCAAGUAGCUCGAAAGCUCGUUAGAGCUCGGCUCGUUAAGGCUCGAGCUCGGCUCGUUAAUUUUGGUUAACGAGUCGAGCUCGAGCUCGAAACAUGCUCGUUUAGUUAACGAGCCGAGUAAGCUCAGCUCGUUUGAUACUCGAGUAGCUCGUUAGAACUCGUUAAUGAAGGGCAUAUUUGCCAUUUUAGAAAUCAAAAUUAUAUAAAUUAAAAAUUAUAGAUUUUUAUUAAUGUUAAUUUGUACGAACUCGAGCUCGAGCUCGUGAAGCUCGACUCGUUUGUGAUAAACGAGUCGAGCUCGAGCUCGAGCCACAUGUAUAUUUAACGAGUCGAGUUCGAACACAUUUUAAAGUUCGUUUUCUUAACGAGCUCGAGUCGAGCUCGGCUCGAAUUAAACUCGAGUCGAGCUCGGCAGCCAAAUACUCGGCUCGACUCGGCUCGAUUAACAGCUCUACCUAACUACGUCGGAAUAUUUUCAAGAUGUUAAUGAACAAGACGUACUUCUAUUUAUUGAUCCGUUUUGUCCAAGUAGGAUCCGAAGUGUUGGCCUUAUUGAAGUGUCAAAACGUGAAUGUGCGUAUUAAGAUAGCAGGUCAGAGUUGAUAAAACGUAUCAGUUGACAAACUGCUCACUACCUAGAUGCAACGCUACAAACAAAUCAGGAAAGAGGGAUUAAUAGUCACCACAAAAAUGACUCUUUGUAUUGAAUCUCAAAUGCUCAUUCAAUUUAAACGUGUACUCGAAAUUCUAGAGUAGAGCUCUUAAAAUAUUUGAACUCCUUUUGUUUUUGGUCCAAGGCAGCGAUGCGAAGAAUGAGACAUUCAGCACUAAUUUGCCAUACAUCAGCAAUGCAUAAUCACCUAUAAAUCCGGUGAAAAUUAACAAUUCCCAUGUUUAAGCUGUAAAAUUGAACCUUGACAAUUUGUCCACCUAACACAAAAACACGCCCAAAGUCGCGAGAAGUAGUGGUUUUCUUUUGCCUACAUGGAUGGCUUUUGUGUAACUCACAAUGCAACAAUAUCCUGCAAGCCUACAAUCAACUUUUGACCAAAGGCAAUGUUGCAGUUUUUCUAAUUCUAUCUGCAUUGGGCCCUUCAGUAUAUGACAUUGAAAUUGCCUUCAUCAGUUGCAAGUUUAGGUGUUUUUUUAGGCUGAGAAAUGUUGUUCUAGUCUUCUAGACCUGCACAUGAGCUUGCUCAAUGCACUAGCCUUAUUGCUCAAACUGAAUUCUGGUAGGAUAACCCAGAUUGGUCCCAAAACAAUUCAGAUUAAGGAUUCCUAUGCAAAAGCAAUUGUUGCUAGACAAUAGGUGUUGGAUAUUUUAAUAUUCCUAAUUUCUUAGCCUAUAUAUAAGGCAUCUAUCAACCAAACCAAAUAUAUACUUUGCUAUCUCUAUACUACCUUCUAUUUUUUCCUCCACUACUAUAAGAGUUUAUAGGGCAAAGAACAGUGUUAGUAUGAGGUUUCUGUCUUGCUCCAAUAGUGUAGAUUGAAGUAGACUACAGUGUGCAAAAGGUUGGGCUGUUGUAUCCUGGAGGCAACGUGCUGAGACCUACUACACCGGAGGAUACUCUAUAGGGGCGCGAAUCGUCUUAAAGAGAGCGACCUAAUCCGCGCCUCAACCCAUGCCAAAUCAACAUUUUUAUGGUACAAAUUAUUUGCAUUUUUAAUGCAAGAUGAAGGUAUGAAUUUUUGUUAAUUUAUUUGUUAAAUUUUAUUAGAGAAAUUAUUGUGACUUAUAUGAUUUAUUUUGGUCUAGAACCAACAAUUUUAAGACGACUUAGCCUCUUCACAUAAGAUAAGGUUAUGGUUGCAUAUUUUGCUUCUAAAUAAUCUAAUCAUAAAACUAACAUAAUCCUGACAAUGAGAAUCUUACAUGGUGUCUAACAUAAUCCGCACAAACUUUAAUAAACAAGAUAUUUCAUGUGAAUGGUCACAAUUAUAGACUGAGACUAGAAAGGAUAGUAUCCAUUGGUUUUAUGUGCUUUAGAGUCUGGUAUCAAUAUUAUGUAAGCGCAUAUAAAUAAUUCGCAAUAUAUACCUUUGAAUCCAAGUUGCCUAUUAUUAACAGAAUAUCAUGUAUUUGUUUGUUCAAGAAAAACAUGGUACUUGCAUGAUGUCUUUGUAUAUUAUUAGACUAAAUAUAAUAAUUUUUUGCCAUGUUUGAGUUUUUAAUAUAUGUUGUAUGAAGCAACUAUUUUCACAUGAGCUUGUCAUGUUACAUAGUGAACUUUCAAUGUCUCUUAUAUUAACGGAUUUAUUCCGAUUGAAAAUUUUGGCAUUGACAUAUAAAUGAUUAAUUUGGUGAUAAAGAUAUAUACUCCAUGAAAUGCAUGUAUAACGUGGCCAGUUAUUGUCUUAAGAAUAGUGGUAUCAAGGUGCAUACAAAAAAACUGCAAUUAUGAGGGUUCAAGUUAUAUUUAAAUAGUGGGGGUUUAAAAUUCUCUAGUUUUGUCUUCAAUUCAUAUGAUCUUAGUCCAGCUUGAGGUCUGCAUUUUCAUAAGCAAUAAACAGUAUUGAUAAUACAUGAAGAAAAGAUUACACUGUCACCAAGGAAAAAUUAUAUACAUGGAUAAUAGCUUUAGUGGCUUGAAGUUGUGAAAUAUAAAGUUAUUAGCCAUAUAAUUCUCAACAAUUCUAUUCUCUUGACUCGUAUUUUGUUAAAAUUGUGAAUAUGAACUUUUGAGUUGAAAAUGUGAUAUUGUACAUUGAAAAAUAUGUAUUCGAGUCAAAGGCCAUCAAUUUGUAGGCAACCAACAACUUUUGGAUUUGUAUUAAAUUAUUUCAUGUUGUUUGCUAUGUGGCUGUCUUUGCAUUUAAUGAAAACUGGAAUACUUAAUUUCCUUGCCAAGCAUGACUAUAGUAAGACUAUGCUUGGAUGGAAACACGGACAGCGGAUGUUGACUAAGCUGGUAGCUAUGAAUUUUGAAACUCUUGAGAUUUUUCAUUAUAAGGCUUGCAUUACUUGCAAGUUGAAUUUUGAAAUUAAAAAAUAAUAGUGCAUUGACUAUUAUAUUUUUUGAAUUUUCUUAAUCUCUAAUUUGAGUUGUGCAGAUUAAAAAAUGAGGCAUGAUUUGGAUAGAUUUGAAUUACUUAUGUAGUUUUCUUGCAAAAGAAAAUUCAUUGAGGACUAUGAGAGUGGCGGGUUACUAGAUUACUAGCCACUGAGAAGAUUACAGAAAUGAUGGAAAUUAAUGUGGCUUUGCUUGAUGUGAGCAAAUAUAUGCCCAUUCUAUUUGCUCAAUUUGUGAGUAUAACAUAAUUAUUGUUUUUUGAAUCUAUUCUAACUUUAUUUUGAGUUGUGCAGACUAGCAUUCACUGAAAAGUAUGACCUGAUGUGAAGGUACUUGAAAUAUUUUUUGAUAUUUUUGCAAAAGCAAAAAUAACCAUGGAGAUUUUUUAGAAUGGCUUCUAGUGCAUCACUAGACUACUGGCCAUAGAAAAAAUUAAAAAAAAUUACUUAUGAGUAAAUAUACGCCUACACUAUUUGGCAAAAAUAUAUGGAUGAGAAAUUUUCUCAUCGAAGAUUGGUUCCAUGUAUUUGGACCACUAAGAGAUUAUUUGAAAAAAUUCGAGAAUAUCAUAUCUUUGUUAUUUUAUUUGUGUUGAAAAAAUAAAUCUCAAGCUUGAGUCAAGGAUAUGAUACACAUCGAGAGGGAUAAGACAAAAGUCUAAUAUAUGUUAAAAAUCACCUAUGAGGAUACAACCACCUAGGGACUGGAGAUCCUAAGAACUAGGUCGGAGGCAAACGAAUCAUAGAGUGAUUUGGUUGAUUAAUAUGCACUACUUUGAUUAUAUUGUCUAUCCCUAUGAUGUAAAUGCAUUUGUGAUCCUAUGACGAUAAGCGAGGUUGGGAUUUUUAUUCCCUUAAUGAGUUCUAUAGCCCUUAUGGGUGGGAUGUCUAAGUCAUAGGAGCAUCCUUGAUAGACUCACCUAUAUGAGUGUGGAAGUAGGGCCGCUUCCUAUAAGAAUUUGGGCUGGUUCUCUAGAGCACUCAUGAAAACCGGGAUAAAGCACAAGGCCAUAAAUGUGCUGGCUUAUGAAACCUAUUUGAGAACACUGAAAGGUUCAUUUGUGUGAUACGAUUUAACGUGCCCUCAAGUAGUCAUCGUUUAAAGGUUAAGUCCACUUUGACUCUAGCACGGGAAUUGUUGAGCACUAAGUGAAGGUUUAAAGGCAUUGCCACCUUCAUUAUGCAUGAAUUUUUAAUCUUUGCCCUAUUAAGUGUUAAACUUUGAAUAUUAUAUUUUUUAUUAAAAUAAGUGGGGGAUUGUUGGAUAUUUUAAUAAAAAAUAUCACAUAUUUAUUUUGAAUUCAAAUAAAAUAAAUUACAAAUUCUUUAAAUAAAUUUUCAGUUACAAAUUGAAACAUUUAAAUGUGUAACUUAUGGGAUUUAUGUCUUGCUUUUGUAACUUAUGUAAUGAUUAGGUUUUAUGAAAUCAUUUAGUAAUUUUUUUACCAUUAUGCAAUGAAUCUAGACUUUCAAUUUGUAACUGAAAUAUGAGGUGUUAAUUCCUAUUAAUGUUGGUAUUUUAAUAUUCCUAAUUUCUUAGCCUAUAUAUAAGGCAUCUAUCAACCAAACCAAAUAUAUACUUUGCUAUCUCUAUACUACCUUCUAUUUUUUCCUCCACUACUAUAAGAGUUUAUAGAGCAAAGAACAGUGUUAGUGUGAGGUUUCUGUCUUGCUCCAAUCGUGUAGAUUGGAGUAGACUACAGUGUGUAAAAGGCUGAGCUGUUGUAUCCUGGAGGCGACGUGCUGAGACCUACUACACCGGAAGAUACUCCGUAGGGGCGCGAAUCGUUUUAAAGAGAGCGACCUAGUCCGCGCCUCAACCCAUGCCAAAUCAACAUUUUUAUGGUACAAAUUAUUUGCAUUUUUAAUGCAAGAUGAAGGUAUGAAUUUUUGUUAAUUUAUUUGUUAAAUUUUAUUAGAGAAAUUAUUGUGACUUAUACGAUUUAUUUUGGUCUAGAACCAACAAUAGGUUUUCACAGUAAAAUCACGUACAAUUGUCCCUAUCCUCUGUUUGUCUUUGGCCUAAACUUAAAAACCGUUAGCUCUUCUUCACUUAGUGGCCCUAAUAGGUAUUCAUAGUAAAAUCAUGUACGUUUGUUCCCAUCAUCUAUUUUUUUAAUGUCAAAAUUAAAAAAAAAGUCGUUGUCUCUUGUUCAAUUUAAGGGUGCCCACGUUUUAUUAAAAUUGACAUUUCCCAGCAAAAUAAUUUUUGUUCUUAAAUAUGCAUUUACAGUUUGGUGGAUUGUAGAAUCUGGUAUCUAAAAUAGGAUUUUGCCCACUAAAUUUUGUAGCCACUUGAGAAGGAAUCCUUGCAGUCAUCUUUUAGAAUAUCAUACAAAUUUUGUAUCCUCUGAUUGCCAUUUUUUUCUUGGAUAAAGUUUGUACAUACUAACAGUGUAUACACAAGUGGAGCAGGAUGCACCACAGCUGAUCACAAUUUAAAUUUAACUAUUAUAUUUUACAUACAUGAUAUAUGUCUAAUCCCACUUAUAUAUAUUCUGUUAGUGUAUAUAAAAUUUAUAUAUCUUUUUUCUUACAAUUGGUAUUAUUUUCUAGUACUAUUAAACAGAAUUGGCUCAAUGAUUUGCAGCGGUCAUAGAAGGAGGAGCAAUAGCAAAGUUGCAAGCCUCAACAAAACCUACCAGCAGAAGCUGAUGCAUUAAUAAUAGAGGCAGAGGCAAAUGAAGUUGAGGGUGACCAAUUGCCCUCCCGACUUUGAGAAAUUUUUGUUUAGGCAUAGAACUUUUGAAAAUUUAUAUAUAUUAAUAAACCAAUUGAAAUAAUAUGCCACCAAAGUGACAUCUAUUGUGGAAAUUAAUUUGUUUUAUAAUAGAACUAGUUCGAUACUUAUAAAUUUCUAAAUAUUGAUUGACCCAAAAGGAGGUCAAUAUUUAACAAACUUGUGUGUGCAAUUGUGGUAAUAAACACAUGGUGAUUACUCAAAUUUUACAUGUGAAUUAUAAACUAGUCCAAAUAAAAAUUUAUUUUUAACAUGUUCUUGUUAUUAAUAUUUGUUAUUACACCAAGAUAUCACUUAGAAGUUAAUAUUUCUGUUCAAAAAUGAAAUAUUAGUAACUUGAGAUUGGGUUAUCUCUAUUUGAAAUAUAUAAUUUUUUUUACAAAUAAAAUGACAUCCAUACAAACACAAUCUUCCUCAGAAUUUGGGACCCGUCCAUCGUAAAUUAUUGUUAUUGGGACCGGUCCUUCCUAUACGUUCCCAUGCAAAAAAUAGUCACGUGAUAAUUUCGUCAAUUUUUUCUCCACUUGCAUGCCUGUCCUUUAUCACAGCCUGCCAUUAUCCGGCCUCCGGGGGUCUGAGGUGUCAGCCAUCAAACAUCAUAAUUAAGAUAAUUAAGAAGCUUUGUCCGUAGUUGUAAGUAGGGAAUCUGGAUUCUUUUAUUGCUAUCAUAUCAUAUAGGUUCGAACCUUUCCAACAAAAUGAUGGAUUUGUUGCCGACAUUUUUGUUGCAUGAGUUUAAAAUCACAUCGCCAUGUUAUUGAGCGGGUUCCACCGCCACAUCACAUCAGAUAUGAAUGAUAUAUAAUGUGCUUUAUCUUUUGCGCAUAAAGGUAGGUAUUCGCCAGAGGAACUGCCCUCUCAUCCAACGAAAACAUACUCCAUUUUGGCCAAUGCAAUUAUGUGUUCAGAACGGAGAUUAUUUGAAAUAAUUUUUUUUAAUCAAAAUAUAUUUUAUUUUGGCUGAUGCAACUAUGUUGCAUUUUUUUGAUAUAAUUCAUGUGAGAUAAAAUUCUGAUUAAAAAUAUAUUUAUGAUGUAAAUAAGUAAAUUUAAGUAAAGAACUUGCUAUCCAAACCAAUUGGCUGUGAGAGCCCGAGUUAGAUACGUAUCCAUAUCAACAUUAAUGAAGCGAUCAAUACAUAAAACUGGAACCAUCAUGCUGUACUACACUAAAAUUGUAAGAAGAUAUCAAUAUCAAUUUCUUUUUCGUGGGGUAGGUGACAGCAUUAAUUUCUUGCUUGCAUGCUUUGCUAGAUUUUAAACUCUUCCAUAUUGUUGAUUAUAUGCCACGUAUAUAUAGUAUCGAUAAGGGUACCUACUGAGAGGACCACAGUGAAAGAACCAUUUUCUUUGUUAACUAUGUCAACGUAAGAAAAUACCUACUGAGAGGACCACAGCGAAAGAACCUUUUUCUUUGUUAAAUAUAUCAACGUAAGAAAAUAGUGGUGAAGUCUGUUAAAAUUUCAUUAAAUUUUUGAAGGAGUUUGGAGAGUUUGAUGCGAGAAGUCUACCUUCUUAAUUUAAUUUAGCUUGAUUUAAAAAUUCUAUGACUUUUUUUUUUCUUUUCACUUUAGCGGCAACAGUUAGUUUAGCCUAACCUACUCCUACUCCUAAGACAGGGGGAACUUACUUUUUAAGGGAAGCGACUCUAGGGAGUGGGCCAAUGGAGUCGGGGGAAUCAGACGGGAACUUAACCACCAUCUGACCAGACGGGUGCACCACUCACCCGCAUGAAUUUAGAACACUCCUCAUAUUGAGACACAUUGAUGGGAGGCAAGGUUUGAACCCUUGACCUCCCACCCCACUAUAUACAGUAGUGGCCAACUCCUCUAUAUGGUUUAAAAAUUCUAUGACAUUCAAUUGAAGCUUUUUACAUGUUCUGUUGAAGGAGAAAAUUAGUCUUAGUAUAACACUUUGAUACUUAAUAUCUCUUUUAUUUCUAGCAAUCAUGAGAAAAAAAACUUCGUCACCCGGUAUCACAAAAAGUAAUACGCAUAAUGUGCAAUGUACAUGCGCUUAUACUAGCUACUCUAAGUACCGGUAAAAAAAAGAAUACUUUGAAAAAGUAAUAAGUACAAUGGGCAAAAUCAAGUAAAAUCUUUUUGGAAUUAAUUUAGUAAGAACUUAUGCAUGAAUUCCUGCUAUACGCUUGUCAUAUUGAAUAAAGCUAAUUUUUUUCCCUCAUAAUCUUCUAAUGUUAAAUAGAGUCAAAAUCAAGUAAAAUCUCCUUAUGUCCAAAAAUGUUUUUUGAUUUUCAUUUAAAAAAGAUAACCAAUACGAAAGGAUAUUUCUUUUUGCCUUGGAGAAUUGGUCAAAGUGGUAAGGUGGAAGUGAGAAAAUGUGACCUGCAUCGGUUGGGGUUGAUUUGUGAGUAAUUAGUGCACACGUCAAGAGAUUAGAAUGUUGAUAUCAUGGAGAUAUAUAUGAACAUUAUCGAUGACGGCUAUACUCCAUAAUGCUACUCGAAAUUUUGAUGCACGAGAAGUUGGUGGAUCAAGUAAAAUGAAAAAAUAGUUAAGUUAUUGAAACUUUUAUCCAAAAUGGUUUCUCAAGUUGAGUUUUAUCCAAUUGAGCUUGGGUGAUAAAAUAUUUAUAAUAUUCGGUGUAAAUUCAUACAAUUUUAGUAUAAUUGUAAAAUUUUGCUUUAGCUUAAUUGUAUGAGUUUGCAAAUUUCAAUUAUCCUAAAAUUAUGUUAGUUUAUAACACAUAUUGUAAGAAUUAGAUCAAAUUGGAGAACCCGUAGAUCCACUUUUAACAGUCUUCUUUACCUCUCUGUCUCUUUCCCUCGUACUUUUGGGAGAAUUAGGUACGUAAUUAAUUAAUCCAGAUGAUGUAACAUGAAUUUGGUUAUGUAUGGCACGUUGCUUCUUGUAAGAAAAGUACUCAUUUAUAUACUUCCAUUUUAUUGAACAUGAUUCACUAUCUCAUGAAUCACUGAUAUACUACAUAGUUACAUUCCACUCUCGUGGGAACUGAAACACAAACUAAAAGGGGCAUAUAUUUUACCCAUUAUUUAGUACUCGUUUAGCCUGAUAUUGGCUGUCUAGAGCACAACACCAAUCAUGGAAUUAAUAUUUAGCCCAAGGCCACUCACAAUAUAGUGAACUUCCAUCCUCAAAGUAAAGAGUGCAGCCGUCGUCGACGCAACAAUUGCUGCAGUUUGUGUAGGUCUUAGUUCCAUUACAGAUCUUGUACUCCGUCAGUAGGCAAAUCAGUGGGCACGGCCUGAUAGGCCCGGGCCUGACAGCCAUGACUUCCACAUUUGCUCCCAGAAGAAUCAUUCCUGUUUUCAGUACCAAAAUCAUUUUAUAUCGUGUGCAAACCAAAUCCCGUAUAGGGUUUUGAAAAAUGCUCGAAACUUAUUUUUUAUAUAUAUAUACACAUAUGGGAUGAAUUGUUCUCUUUUUAUUUUUAAAAAUUGCCCCAACAGGUUUAACUCGUACACAAAAGAAUAAAAUUGUACAUACCACAAAACAGAAUAGCCAUUGCACCAAUCUUGCUGAUUGCCAUGAUUCCUUGUCUUCCAAAAGUUUGCCUUUGGUUUGAAAUCGCUUGGGCUUAUACCUGUGUUCUUAUAUAGACGAGAAGAGUAAAGAGUGAAUUCAGAUUUAUUUAGCCCGCCCACCUGCCCUCCUGCCACUGGGUGCAAUUAUUCUGCUCAUUGUGCUUCCACGUAAUCGUGGGACCAGUCCAUCCUAAAUUAUUGUGCUUU
rnacentral:lncRNA from 1 species